UUUUUUUAAAAAAAAAAGAGGUAGUAGUGAGGCAUAUACACAGGCGCACGUACGUACCUGACGAUGGAGGAGGAGGAAGAAGAAGGGAUAGUGAGGAGAAAGCGGGCAUGGACGACGGGGCGAUUGGCGGGGUCGGCGCAGUCGGCGAGGAGCUGGAGGUGGAUCAGCACCUCCUCCGCCUUGCCGCCGCACAUGUCCACCAAAUACCUCGCCGGCAUCCGCCUAAAGUGGAGACGGAGCUGGCGUUGGAGCUGAUGAUCAUGCUGCUGCAGGAGGCCUCCACUCUCCGCCAGCCGUUCGAAUAUCCUCUCUGCCGCCGCCGCCGCCUCCUCCUCCGUCACCGGCGCCAUUAAUUGCUAUAUAUGCUACCUGGUACGUGUGCUUCUCUUCUCUCGCGUGGGCUCUCCUCCCGGCCGGAGGCCAUCAAUUGUGGCUCAUUCUUCAUAUUUAUUUACUCUCUUUCUACUCCUAAGUACUAAGUAAUUAAGAGGAGUCUUAAUGGUUAAGUAUAUAUUAGCCGCCUCCAUUGAUCGAUCCAUCGAUAUCAUCAUCAGUGUGAGGACGUCCCGUCCCGUCCGUCGUCCUCCCCGCUAGCAACAAUGCAAAAGCUGCAGAUCCAUCCAUCCAUCGAUACACACCAUGCAUUAAUCAAAUCAAUUACAAUGAUUCGUUCAGAAAAAAAUAUCAAUUACAAUGUACUAAUUAAGGUGAUACAUAUAUAUCGAUCUUUCCAAUCUAGGAGUAUUUAUCUUAAUUACAUGCAUGGCGUCUAGUGCAUAUGGCUAUCUUCUAGGAGAUGCUGGCACGCGCAUGCAUAUGCGCCACGAACAGAAAUCACGCACACAUGACUACGCUUGCCGCUUCACACAAGUCGGACUCUGCUUCAAAAACUUUUAACCGUGCGUUAAAACUUUCAUUUCGAAAAUCAUAAAUUUUUAGUUUCAAAUAUAAAACUUUAUCUCAAAUCACAAAACUCUUCCAUGAAACUUUCAUCUCAUAAUUACAAAAGGAAUUAUACCAAAAUCACAAAAACUUUCAAUUCAAACCCAACUCUUUCAUACAAAAAGACAUAAAACUUUUAUCCACAAACACUCAAAUCCAUCUGCCUGUUCGGUUCUAGCCACCCAUCGAUACCUUCCAGGCAGGGACGGAUCUACAGUACUAGAGCCAACACCGACGACUUUCGGCAAAAUCUAUAGCAAAACUACUUAUCUAUAUAUUAUAACACUAUGAUCUAAGUAUUAUCAGCAUACUAUGACACCGAUAGACACAUUAUAACACCAACGAAUCGAUUUUCUAGAUCCGCCACUGCUUCUAGGCCAUCACCCAACCACCGCUAUAGCCCCAAGGUUAGGGCACCGAGUCCAAGGACCUGAGAGCGUUGGAACAUGAAGGAGUUUGAGAAGGAGAGGAAUGAUAUUGUAGGAAGAAUAGCCGGUGUCUUAAGCCUCUAAAAUAGACCUUAUAUAUUUGUGAGAGUAGUCUUUAUGGGAUGUAUUUCGUUGAGCUAGCUAUAUGUACAUAAAGACUACCCACAAGGGAAAAAACUCUUCUAUCUUUUACGGUAGUGCUACUCUCUCUCACUCUCUCAAUGUCUGCUCUUAGGUUGGUGGGAUCCAUCUUAAUACCCUUCUCUUAUCAUAUACAUUAUGUGUAUGACGAUAUAUUUUUAUAGGCCCUACGAUAAUAUUAAGGUAGGUCAUGUACAUCGAGCAUGCCUUUAGAAAAAAAAAAAGACGACGACGGAGAGACGCAACAAGCAACCGGGCAUGGCCAGCCUGAAGGAGGUGAGGCCCAUGCAGCCCGUUAAAAUUAGGCCUUCCUCUAUCUUCCUUUUUCAGGAAUUCGGCCCACCAGUUAAUCAUCACCGGAUAGUUAGCUUGAGCUAAUCGACUCGCUCUCUUUAUCAACAAAAAGUAAACAAUACUACUAAUUAACUUUGGUUGGUUGGGUGACAUUUUAUUUAUUGGUUGAGGUUAGUUGGAUAGACUUGCUCGGUAUCUUCCAAAUCGUUUCAUAUUCGUGUUUACUGGAAUAAUGUUUUCAUAUAUAUAUAUAUAUAUAUACACUAGUGCUACUAGUACGUAUCUUGCCAAAUCUCAAUCGACCUCAUAAGUCAUAAUGAUAAUAUAAAGAGUUCAUCCAUGAUCCAUCCCCUUGCUGUUUCUCUCUCAACUGCUUCACACUGUUGCUCUCUUCCCUCUCUGCACCUGCAACCACCACCACAACCAUAUACCAGUACCAUCGAGGAGGUUGCCUUCUCUUCCGGUCGGAAGCUUGCUUUCCUUUUCUUCUUCUUCUUUUCAGAUCCAAGGUUAAUUUCAGCCGACACACACAGGAAUUGAACCUGUGCUCUUCCCAGGUUUCUGUCUGUCUGCAAAGUUGGCCGCUUUCUGCAGAUUCAUUUCCUUUGCCACGUUUUCUGCUGCAAAAGUUGGAUCUUUGCAAGGGGGACUGGCUGAUUUCAUUUGAGGUUUCUGAAUAAGUUGGGGAGCUUGAUUUGGAGAGGGUAAGAUACGGAUGUUCCUUUUCCUUCUUCCGCCUGAUUAAUUGAUUCCAUCCCUACCAUCUCCUCCUCCGUCUUUCAGGAGAAAUUCUGUUUUGGUUCCUCUUCUCUUCUUGUGUCCAAUUUGGUUUUGCACUUCGCAUAGAAAAAUACAGAAACAUUUAUAUUUAUCCAAUUCAUUUCUCUAGCUACUCAAACAGCGCUUCGCUUCUCUACCCUACCCCUUGUGCAAAGUUCUUGCAGAUCUUAGAAUUUCUCCUCACCAACAUAGGACAUAUGCAAUCUAUUGCACAUCACAAAGUUGGGAUAACAAGAGCCAACCUUUUAUCCUCUCUAGUCUCAGCAGAUAAGGGGUCAAAAUUUUACAACGCUGGUGUAUGAUGUAAUUAGAUUAUUUGUAAUUAACGCGGCCUUUUGUUGGCCUUUCACCAUCACGGAGUUGGUCGCCUACGUUGAGAUCUUGUAUUAAGUUUGUGACAAUAACUUGUACUCACUAACCGCGGUAGCCCACCACUUUAGACUAUUCAAAUGGGAAUGGUAUGCUCUAGAGUAGGCUUGACUUAAUCUACAUGAUUGGAUUAUUUGUCCUGGAUUCCUUGUUGAAUGCUACUAAUCAUCUUCCAUGGUGGAUGCUUUAGUUUUAUUCCAUGGCACUAACUGCUUUGUGGUCUUCAUUGCUCUGACAUCACCGAGUAAUCACUUUUGUCCUUCUCAGGUUACUUUUUUGGGGGUGAUGUUUCGAUUUGCAAAUCAGAACAAGAUUACUUAAGGUAUUACCAUGGUGUACUACUGUGAUUUUGUUCUCCACGUACUUUCUGAUUGCAGGAGCUCAGCAGUUGCUGAUGUUUUAUCUUGUGCAUAUGCAGUGCUGCUAAGCUCAAUUGGAAGUGGAAGAUCUUGGUCACGCGGCAUCAGGUGAAAGUUUGGUCGCUGUGCAUUUUUCACAAGGGAUGUCUUUCCGCAGCAUAGUCCGUGAUGUUAGGGACAGCUUCGGGAGCUUAUCAAGACGGAGUUUCGAGGUGAGAAUUUCAGGCCUCCCUGGUCUUUCUGGCCAUCACAGAGGGAAGUCCCUUGGAUCUUUGAGCGAGCUGCGUGACAGACCUGUAGUAGUAGAUCAAAGCAGAUGGGUUGGUCUUCCUCCUGAAUUACUCCGUGAUGUGAUGAAAAGACUGGAGGAAGGAGAGAGCAAUUGGCCGUCCCGCAAAGAUGUUGUUGCCUGUGCAGCAGUCUGCCGAACAUGGAGAGAGAUAUGUAAGGAUAUAGUGCAAAGCCCGGAAAUCUGUGGAAAGCUCACUUUUCCUGUGUCUCUAAAACAGGUAAAAUCAUGUUCAAUUAUAUGUAUGGUACCUUUGUGUAAAACUGUAAAUGAUUACAUGAGAUCAAUCAAGCACCUAGAUAUAUGCUAAGAAUGUAAAGUCUUACCAAAGUUCUUGUGAACAACACAUGUAGUCUAUGGAUAGCCAGCCAAAAGGAUAUUCUGGACUGGGGAUGGGUGUGGGGCACAUCAUCACCCCAACUCCUUUUAAAAGUGUAAAGAAUUGUAUAGCUUAUAUUUCUUUUGCCACACUUGUAGUGUAGAACAACCAAAACGAACAAAUGGUUGUGUUUCAAAUCAUAGCAGAUGCUAUGUUUAUCAGGUAACACUGAAAUUCUUGUAGGCAAUUGAAAUUAAAGACUAGAUUCUGCAAAUAGAUGUGUCCUCUUAUGAAUGUCUGCACCUGUCUUUUAUUAGAUAAUGGAAGCUUUAUUGAUCUCAGUCAAGUUAUGUCUGCACCUGUCUAACUUUGAUUUUUCAUGUACAGCCUGGGCCUCGAGAUGGUUUAAUCCAGUGUUUUAUCAAAAGGGACAAAUCAAAAUUAACUUAUUAUCUCUACCUGUGUCUUAGCCCUGGUAAGUAUAUGUAACCGCAUCUCUUAUUAAUAUUUAAAUACCUACCGAACAUUUUCUCAGUAUACAUGAAAGUUGUCACGCAUGGUUAUUCUUUUUUCCAUUAACAUUGGUUUAGAAACAUAGAUGGAUGCAAUGCUAAUAAUAUGAUUUCGAUCAUGUAGCUGUGCUCAGCGAGAAUGGAAAAUUCCUUCUUGCAGCUAAGAGGAAUCGUCGGGCAACUUCUACGGAAUACAUAAUUUCUGUGGAUUCUAAAAACAUCUCACGGUCAAGUAAUGGUUAUGUUGGAAAAAUGAGGUGAUGCACCAUCCUUCACUAAGUGUUCCUGCCUAACUUCAUUAACUUGAGUUUGGCAUAGAAAUAUGCAUUGAAAUCUGACACUGCAAACACAAACAGGUCAAAUUUUCUUGGCACCAAAUUCGUUGUCUACGAUACACAGCCCCCGUACAAUGCUGGGAGCCUCAUGUCAUGUCAGCAUGGCAGCCGGCGAAUCUCUUCUAGGAGGGUUUCCCCAAAGUUACCCACCGGUAGCUACCCAAUUGCUCAUGUGAAAUAUGAGUUGAACGUUCUUGGCACUAGGGGGCCGAGGCGUAUGCAAUGCACCAUGCAUUCGAUCCCAGCCUCAGCAGUUGAUCCUGAAGGUGUGGUGCCUGGUCAGCCAGAGCAGCUUCUCCCAGGUCCAUUCGAGGAGUCGUUUCGCAGCACAAACACCUCCUCCAGGUUCUCUUUCAUGGACAGAUCUCUGGACUUCAGCAGCUCCCGCUUCUCGGAAAUCAGUGGAUCAGCGAACCAACAGGGCGAGGAUGAUAUACCUGAGGCUAAGGAGAGGCCUUUGGUUCUACGAAACAAAGUGCCAAGAUGGCAUGAGCAGCUGCAAUGUUGGUGCCUCAACUUCCGUGGCCGGGUAACUGUGGCUUCUGUCAAGAAUUUCCAGCUGAUAGCUGCUGCGUCCUCUGAAUCUUCACAGUUGGAGCAGCAGCAGCAGCAGCAGCAGCAAAACCAUGCUUCGAGUUCUUCUUCGGCAUCCGAUCAUGGCAAGGUGAUCCUGCAGUUUGGUAAGGUUGGCAAGGACAUGUUCACCAUGGACUACCGGUACCCUCUCUCAGCAUUCCAGGCUUUCGCCAUCUGUUUGACCAGCUUCGACACCAAGCUGGCUUGUGAAUAACAUACAUCAGUACUAUAAGUGUGUUUGUAUAGCGUGUCAGUGUGUGUGGAUAGUAUAAACAUCAGUCAGUCUCGUUGUGUGCAGAUGCAGGUGCAGUUUGUUGUUGCUGUUGAUUUAGUUGUCUGUUCUUCUUGUGUGGCAGAUGUGAACAAAGAAUGGCAACACAUCUCAAGUGCAGUUGUUUGCUGCUACUACAUUUAUAUCAUGUAAGUAUUUGGAGGUUGGAAGUGGAACAACCCCAGGCUCCUCUAGUUUCUCGAGAGGGUAUGCAUCUUACUUGCGAAUGUGAUUUAUCUACUCGGUCUAUAUAUCUUGGUAUCCUUUAGGAUCAUAGCUGCUAUAUGAGAGAAGCUACACUGCUACAGCCUGCAUAUGUGCUUGAAGGAGCCACUUGGAAAGGAGGCAAUAUCAGUUGAUCGAUUCAUAGGCAUGCAGAUUAUGUACAAUUAACACUUAACAGUAAUGAAGCACCAUUCCUGCAAUCUUGGAAACAAAUCCUAGAUGAAAAAAAAAAGAAACCUUCAUAAACUGCUUAACGGGAGAUCGUUACAGGAAGAACCCUAUGAUAUGACUGACUAAUCAACAGCCCACUCAAAAUCCCAGGAAGAGAUGGCAACACUCAACAUACGUCAAAUGACAUCCGGAUUCCAUUUGUACACCUGAUGAAUAACAAGUUGUUGGUUGUCAGCAAUCCAUGAAAACAACUUCACUUUUCACAGCCACAUUCAUGUAUUUGUCAACAAAGUACAUCAGGAUGUUGUUUCUUCUCAGGAGAUGAAGGGAGUGCAGCAUUGCCAGUUGGCAAGAUCUCCAGAUCUCUAACCUCACUAGAACUCUCAAUCUUAGUUCUUGUAAUUGGGAUCUCAUUGUCUAAACCAGGUGAGCAGUCAGCUCUGCGAUAUUUCACGCCAUUGCUUUCAACUCCCAACUCUUCGUCACCCAGUUCAUCUGACCGACGUUGUGAGGUCUUAAGGAUGUCGAGGCCCAUCUCAAGAUCAUCCUCGACUUUGGCUCGUGGACGGUGGGGUGUCUCCUCUUCUGCUACAUUGGAACGGCUGAUUCGUGGUGGUGCUACCCCAUGGUCCUCUUGAACAAUUGCUCUCAGGUUGAUCCUUGAAGGCGCUCUUUUGGUGCAGAAGAAUUCAGAACAGUUGUUCAUGCAACCACGGUCAAACACGUUGGGUUGGUUGUUGUAUUUGUACUUGAGGUUCUCAUAUGUUGUCUUCAAAAAAGGAAGUGGAAAUUCAAUUCAGAUCAUAGUUUUCAAUUUUUCAUAAAUGCAAGAAAGAAUUAGUGUACAUGAUGCAUCAUUGCAAUACUUAAUUCCAUUUCUAUUCUCAAUAAAAAUUCAUCCAGUGAGAUUUGACUUGAUCACUAGUGCACUAAAUUCAAAAUAGCAGGUAGGCAUUUCGGACCUGUGGUUAUGUACAUAACUACAUACAAACCUUCUGCAUGAUAUUUAAAGGUGACCUAUAUACCUUUGUCAGCAGAAAGGCUACACAUUUUAUACUUUACCAUUCACUCUGUAUAAUUGGAGUACUAACCUUAUUUGUUGCAAUGAGGUAAGAAUGGAACCCUGUGAGACCACCAACGAACCAGAAACAGAUGAAACAAUAUGCCAUAAUUGCCACUGAUGCUGGAGAUUCUUUAAUUGCCUUUAUCACUGAAUGAUGAUCCCUAUUCAUGAGAAGCUUGAUGUGCAAAGCGCACAUUGAAAAUAUGUAGAUGCACAGGAUGGCUGCUGAAGAUACAAAACAGAAGAAGUAGCGAUAAUUGCGCUGCAAAGGGGAAAUAAAAGCAUAUUAACUGAGAUGGUUUCAUAUGAACAGCUGUCAGGGUGUAGAAACUAAAGCCACCCAUAGCUGGAUUAUUUUAUUUUGAAAAGAAAUUAAACAUAACAGACCUGUCCAAUGCACUGCCCAACCCAAGGACAGUGGUGAUCAAAGCGCUCGACACAGUUAUCACAUUUGGAACAGUGAGAGCAGCGCGGAGGUCGAUAUAUCAUGCAAGUGUCACAGUAUUUUACUUUCACGGGUACACCAUUGACCAAAAUCUCCUUGACCCGUGGAAACUGAAGAGUGUGUGGAGCUGAAGCAUCAUGAGAAAACUCUUCCACAGGUGGAUGUGAGUUCCGUGGUACAAUACCUGGAUCUUGAGAUGAGGUCAAGAAGAGCAGUAACAGUACCUAACAAUCAGGUUUUGCAGAGAAGGAUCCUAUGAUUUUGGCGGUGUCUGUAAAAAGUACUGUGAAAUAAAAUACGAUAAAACAAUCUACACACUCUAGAGAUAGAAUAUUUUUUAUAAAUUUUGGAGACCAGUAAGAUAAAUGAUCAUGAUAAUAUAUACAACUGAGUAUAUGUAAGAGGAAAAGAGGACCAAUUGCACUGAGAAAAAUGAAGACCAAAGUAUCAAUCAAUCCAGUGAACAUCUUCUAAAAAGGGCAUCGAAGAUGAUAACUCGGUAAACACACAAAAAAAGUUUGGUUCAUCAAUUAAUGAGAUAUAUCGAAGGUUGAAACAGGGUAUGUCAUUAUAAUCACAACUCGGAUGAUCCAUCACUUGAUAAACUAAAAGGAACCUAUAAGAUCCCUUUCCAUUAGUGAAACUAUGCUCGUAGCGCUUUUGUCAACUGUAUUAACAACACAACAUUUUAAGGCAAUGAAGAUGACGAACCCCAGUGAAUUACCAAUUCACCUCAUGAAAAGGACUACAGCUUUACUAACAUAUUGACCUCUGCAUUUCUGAUUACCAGAUAAGAUGCAACAAUUUGUUAAAAUAUUAAAUUUCCAAAAUACUGCUGGAUUCAUGAUUAUAUUAUUUGUUCCAUAUGGAUAGUUAGCAGCUUUCAACAGAUCUUUCAUUUCAAUCACAUCAGGUUUUCUGUUGAAGGGUCUAAAAUAAAGUUGCUUUCUCAUGAUUGUUGGUGACAGGACAAAUCCUACACAGGAACCUUAGCAUAAUUCUGAAGUACAAAGGCACAGAAAGCCUACUUACAUAAAUUGAGAGGACUAUGGUAACAGCAAGAAUUGCAUACCCUGCAUUAUAUGCAGGAAACAUGUGUAUGAGAUGCCUCGCCACAAAGUAGCAGAAGACGGCAACCGGGAUUGCAAUUAGAGAGAAAGAUAGCAGAGUGGCCUUGGCAUCUGGUCCAAAGAUAAACCUUCCACCGCACAAGAUUAUCUGAACAAAGAGAAACACGUUGAUGACACAUUAAAAAUGUUUAUAUUAACUGCUGGUAUAAACUGCAAGCAAAGGUGAAAAUUCCGAAAUCCUAAAAGGUUUGAUAUGAUAUUGUGUAAAAUCUGCAGUUGUCCAACUCCAUCAGAACUCCUAUCAAGGCCAUUGUUUUUACACUAGCCUGAACUCUGAAUAAGACAAGUUGCUGAAAGCAAUAAUUCUAAAGAGAAGAGUAAAAAGAAGAUUUAAGCAACGUAAUGUUUGCAAGUGUAGCACAUUAUUUUUUAUGCAGCCUGAAGCCAGGUUGAAUUAGCUGCAGAAAGACAGGACCUUGGGACUCCUGUCCCAAUUGGAUUAUGUUAUUGGAAACAAAAGAGGGUUAUCAUCCAGAAUGGCCCCAAAGCUCCAAACUGAUUAACGAUAGUUUAUUCAUCUAACUCAUCAACAGUGUAGUAAAAUAUAGUACAAACCAGGCGCACAAACCAAUUAACUAAUAAACUAGCCUAGCUAACCACACACAAAGAUAUGGGCCGGAAGCAGUUUCCUUUAUCUAAUCCCCAAAAGUAUUCGUCAGAGCAGGUUAGAACAAAUCACAUCGCGAAAUGUUAGGCGCCAACGGGACAGACAGAAAUGGAAGCGGGCAAAAUCAACAGUCGAUCCGAACCCAAGAAAAGCGCGGAUUAUGGGGACAAGAAGGGGGACGGGGGCGCAAGAAAGAAAGAAGAGAGGGAUCGUGGAGGAGGAGGAGGAGUAAUCCAAUCUCACUCACGUUGUUGCCUUUCCAGACUUGGUAAACCCGCUGCUGCUUGGCCAUGGCCAUGGCCGCAGGCCGCACGAAGGAAGAAGAAGAAGAGGAGAAAGCCACUCCACAACACUUUGGCCACUCUUCCUUGUUGUAGAAUCCUUUAUGAUUUGAUUUCCUCUUGAAAGGGAGAAGGAAAAGGGUUCAGGACAGGAGACGAGAUGCCAUCAGCAUCACUUGGGUCGUCUUCUUCUCCCUCCUGCGUCUGCGUCUGUGUGUGUGAUCUGGGUGUAGGGGGAGCUAAACGAAACCUAUGAGGAAGGCAAGGCAGGCUCCUAUAUCCAUCCAAUCCUACCUUCUUGUUAGCCCGCCCCGGACUACCAAAGCAUCUCUCUCCUCUCAUCCUCUACUCUUUCUUUCUUUUUUCUUUCUUUUUAUUUAUCCCCUAUAUACUCCUUACUACUAGAGAAACAAGAACUAUCAAUUGAUGAUGGUAUUAUCAUUAAUGUGGGGUCUUAAUGUCUGCAGUUGAUCAUCCAGUUGUGAUAUUCAAUACAAAUAAAAAUUAAUCACAAACUGUCCAAAUAAAAUUAAUGGCACUCUCUAAUAUAAUAUAUGAUAAAGUAUUACUUGAGUGAUCGUGCAAAUUUGUUUUUUGUUCGAUCACACGGGAUAUAAAUACGUGUACACACACAUAUGAGUGUAUCUUCUAAUUAUAUUACAUACCAUGAGCCCAUCGGAUUUUUCAUGUGAAGUUUAUUUAGGAAAUGUAAUAAUUUCACAUGUUAUUCUUUUUAAGGAAUGUCACUGGAAAUAAGGGACAAUUGAUUGCGUUGUGAUACUACUAUAAAAAAAAGUUGCAUGUUCAUAAAUUGUGGGAGUACAGGUAACCAGGGACCAUUUAUGCUGGUGACAUGUUGUACAGGAAAGACAAUGGACCAUCACUGUUGCAGUGGAAUCUGGCAUAGCAAAGCAUCAGAUCCCUUGAUUAUAAGAGAUCAAUGUCUCCCUUAAUUGUCACUCACAUGUUCAAGGCAGAUGAAUGAAUUUAUUAAAACACCCCCAUUGGACCAUAUUUGUCCAAAGAUUAGUCAGUAGUUCCCAUAUGCAUUUAGACAAUUGUCGUGUGUCCGUGUACAAAGAUUAUGCUUUAGCUAACUGACUAACCAGUUAUUCCUUAUCCCUGGAAAGGAUCAACGACAUUUUUCUAGUUACUACUUGGGUUACACACAUACACCAUGCCGACAAAGUUGUUCAAACAGAUUGUUAUCUGAUUAGAGAACGUGUAAAGAACAAUCUUGGUGGGAAUAUAUGCUUAGUUUGAUGCUGUUAUCCACCGACUAAGUUGAAAAAAUCAGGCAUCCAGCUAGUAGCACAACCUGGAAUUUCUUGGAACAUAAAGUGCAUAAGAUCAAGAAUAAUCCUGAUGACAUAUGCAGAAUCUGUUCCAUUUGCUGUCUAUGCAUAAUAGGCAUAUUUUGCACCUGUAAAAGGUCUUACCACAACAUUUUUUUACAAUGCGAUUGCAGUUAUUUUAUGAGCAAUAAGAUCACUUGAUAUGCAGAAAAAUAUUGCCUCAAAUAAAAGGAAUGAUCUACAGCUCGGCACAUGAACAAUUUCUCCAGCUAAUCUGGCAUCUACAGCUCUCAUUAACAAAAAAGAAAAAGAAGUUACAAACCAAUGGAACAGGUGGCUAAAAAAAGAGCAGAAAAUUUUGCCUCAGAAUGGCAGUACAGUAUGUGCUUGUACCAGCAGAGCACAAAGACAGCACAAGCUCAAGUGAAUGGGUCUGCUCUUAAUAAGAGAGUAUGACCAGGAUCAGAAGUGCCACUCCGAAGAAGAAGCUCAGCUUUGGUAGUACAACCCGAGCCAUUGCGCCGCUGGAACUGGAGCUGCCGCCUGCACUUGUGCCCUUGCCGCCGCUGGGUGCCUUCCGAGGCGACGGCGGCGGUGAAGGUGGAGGUAUCACACAUGUCCCGAAUGUCGAAUUCGCCUGCAGCUCAGAGGUCACAACAACAUCAUCAUCAUGCAGAUACAAUACAAGAAAUGCAAUGGAAGUUCUGAUCCAAGUAAACAGCCAGGUGUGGUUGCAACAUUAACUACUAGAUAGAUGGCCCCGUUUUCAUCAUUAAGACAUAUCAUUCAUAAUCCCAUCACCUAUUGUUCUGCCUAACAUCUAAGAGUAGACUUGACACAAUAUCCACUUGCUGAUGAGAUGCAACCUAACUUGCCUUUUCCAUUGCAAAAUAUCACAUAAAUAUGUAGAAUAAAUAGCUACACCAUUAUUCUGAUUCAGCUUUCCAUGGUAUGCAACAUUUAUUUUUAUCAAAAUGUAACAUGUUGUUUUUUACAAGUAGAACUUGUGGCCAAGAGAAAUGUUGUAUGUCCUUACCUUGCAGUAUGCGAUGUUGUCACACCCACAUACUAGAUGACCAUUUGCGAUGUCAGUAGCUAAGGGAGCUCCUCCACCAUCGCUCCUCUGCAUGAUUCAGAGUGGAGAUUUAUAAUAACAAAAGAUGUCCAAACAUAUUUCAUAUGGAUUAAAGAGUGAAACAAUUCCCAAGUUGAUGUACCAUGUAGAAAUCAACAGCGAUGUAAUUGGGCCACCGAUUGCCCGAGAGAUCAUGGCAGGUUUUCAGCAUGCUAACAAGUGGCGCUGAGUUGUUUGCGCAAACCCCUGUUUGACUUGGGUCUGUUGUGAAGAAGUUCAUCAGGACAAGAGACUGGCUUUUGGAAUCCAUGGCUGGAGACUCUGCACGAUUCGGGCAUUUACCCUCUACCAUCCCUUCAUUUCCAUCUGCACAGACAAAAGAUAACAGGUCAAAUAAGAACAUAAAUGUUUCACGUUCUGACAUCACCAAUUUUGUUUUGAAAUCCUACAUUGGUUUUCCACGACGUAACUCCACUCGUAAGCGAUCCCCUCGCUUGCUUCUUUUGAUUUCUUUGAUGUGAAGACUAGCAGGCGCUCGUUCUGGCUGAUCAUGUCCUUGAGUAGAGGCCAGUCGCCACCGCUCUUGGGCAUUUUAGCCACUGGGAACCAAUACUUCAUGAGUCCAGAAGCAUUGAAUACUUUUGGCAGAGACCCAGAAGCAGUAUAAUCUUCCAAGAAAAUUGUGAUUACUUCUGAAGGGUUACCGUCAAGGAACGUCCGGAUUUCUUUCAACACAUUGAUGGCAGGUUGCUGACCACAAAACCAACUCAAUGUUAGAGUUACAAGAUCAACAUACUCUCGGUGUGAGAGAGAGGAGAGAUAGGAGAAAGAGAGAAAUGCCCAGUUGAUCAUCUUACAAAGGCUGUGAAGUUAAAGCAUUUCCCUUGAAAUGAGUGGCACAGCCAGACAUCAUUAUUGAAGUCGUAAGUGUCAAGCAUCAAGCCCCUAACACCAUUCUGCAUGUUAUCAAGUAAGUUUCCAAUGGUUAAAUUUUUUUAAUAACAAAUAACAAGUCAAAAUUCAGAGUGUGAAUGGACAACCACAAGAUACAGGUUUGUAUCUUUGUGGUAAAAAAAUGAAUUUAUUCAGUAGCUGCAAAAUAGGCCACAGUAUUUUUAGGUGGGUUUGGUGGAUUUUUUUUUUUUUUUGAGAAAAGGCUUGCGACCAGCUUUUUUAAAGAAACCAUAAGAGUGCACACAGAGUCUGGAACAUGUUUGUGGAUUUUCCACCCUCAAAGACAUACGAGUAGAAAAUCCUCAGCCGUCACUGUUGAGGAGUGGCUUAAUUCUGAAGUGUGAUGAGAAAAAGGAGCUGCAUCAAGUUUACACUUUUAAAUACAACAACUGUAUUUAUAAACUUUGGUAUAAGAACUUCCUACUUUAGAACGCCAAUUAAAAAGAAAAAAGUAAGAUGAUAUGGUAUGAUAAACUGAGUGAGUAUGGCCCCUUUGUUUUCUUAAGACCAAAGCAAUCGAUAUCUUCACAGCUUAGUACCAGAACCAGAUAUGAUUACAACAAAGUCUACUUGUCAAUCGCUACCUUCAAGAAUCUCUUUCGCUUUUAAACACAUUGAGCAUCACCACGGUUUGAAGAUUUAGUUAUUUUGAAGAGGCAAUAAACAAUAUAAGAAUGUGAAAACAUGCUUAAGUUGCAUCAAGUCAUUCCCAUGGUGAACACCGCAAAAAAAGAAAACAAAGAAAAAAUAGAAAACCGUGUCAUAAGUUGCAGCAUGUGAGGAAAAUUUAAGUCAAACAACCAUUAAUCUGUUGUAUCUUUCAGCAGUAUUUAUUGAAAGCCAGAAUUGUGCCAAAGCUGGUAAAUGGGCCAACCACAGGCAACUAAGACACAGAAAAUGGAUGCAUAAGCUGUAGCUAGUUGUUAAUUCUUCUUUGUUUACUCCCUUCUUUAAUUAACCUCGAAUUAUUCAUAGUCUUUGUAUGGAAAAUGUCAUUGCAAGAAGCUCCAUACAUGUAAACUUUAAAUUUAAAAUCUGUAUUGUGUGUUUGUCUUGGAUAUUGACCUUAAUAUCCAAUAAGGUGUGAUUUGGUAGCACAAGCCCGGAGGCAAAGGGAAGACAUCUAACAUGAAGUGAAAAGGGAUCCAGAUAUCUAAAAGGGAAAAAAAGAAGAGUUGAAAAAGGAGCCAGUUUGAUUUUGUCUGCAGGCACCAGAGUUGGAAGAAAAGCAUGGCGAUAUAACAUGAACAUGUGUUAAUUGCAAAAGGACAGUCUUUUUUUGUGUAUAAGGUAAUGGAGAAAUGGUGCGUGCAGACUUGCUUUGUGGGUAUGGAGUUAAUAUAUUCCUAAGAAAGACAAAAGGAGUGGGCAGGUAGGGUGGUGAAACCCUGUGUGUGUAAGCAUGACCUUUGGUUUUAGAUCGAAGAUGGCGAGACCUACUCAACAACCAUCAGAAUAAUUUGUUAGAUGGAUAAGGAAGCAGGUAGAGCAAUAAUGCAAAGAAAGAUGGAGGUGCGUUGUCCAUUAUUAUUAUUAUUAUUGGUGGUAAAAGGGGAGGAUGUGAUCGAAAUCUCUAUUGUGGAGAUUGAAAGGGUCAGGCUUUGGUAAAGUAAAACUUGGAUUACAGUGAAAAAAAAAGUUAUCUUUGCGUAGAAACUUAAUAUUGUUGAGUAACUCAAUAGCAUAGCGAUUAUCGUCAAGUGUUAAUAUUGUUGGCUAAAACUGUAUGGCAUAUGGCACACAGCCAAAGGAAAAUUACGAUUCUUCAUGUUUUACGGAGGGAAAGGAAGGAAAAUCGUGUUUACCUAGUCGGACUGCAAUACUAAUACUAAUAGUACCAAUUUUUAUUACUAGCACAUCUCAUGAAGAAGAGAGAAAGAAGCGAGCGGUGGGGCCCACACGGCAGGAAAAGGAAGUGGCGGACAGGUGGGCCACAGCCAUGUGACGGUCACCAACCGCCGCGGGCGCCGGAAGCGGAGAAGAAAUGCGGCGGCGAUACCUUGAGCUGGGCGGUGAUGGUGUCCUCCUGGUUGGUUUGGGUGAUGAGGGCGGAGCCGGUGGCGGAGGAGGAGCCGGCGAGGGCGUACGAGUUGUGCGUCGUCAGCCAUGAGUAGUUGUUGAAGGGGAGAUCCGUGCCCUGCUCCGUUCAACCACUAUCCAUCAUCAGAUCCAUGAAUCCAUCCAGGUCCAGGAGCAACAAGAAGAAGAAGAAGAAGAAGACGUACGUGCGUGAGCGGGUCGAUGGGCUUGGCGCGCGUGCACGUCUUGUCGCCGCCGCCGCCGCCGCCGCAGUCGCUGCAGUGCAGCCCCGCGCCGCAGUCUCCCUCCGACGAGCACGUGUCCCCCACGCUCGCCGCGCUUGCGCCGGAGGCGAGCAGGACGAGGGCGAGGGCGAGGAGGAGGCGCGGGGCCAUGGAUGGUUGCGAGGUCGACUCGCGGCGGCGGCUUAAUUAGCUACUACACUAGACUUGAUUGAUUUGAACAACCUUACCAAUACAAACAUGCAAUGCCAACAAAAGGAACAAAGAGUAUUAGUAUUACUCCUAUAUUGUAAUACUAAUACUAUUAUGUAAAAGAAGAAAAGUAGAAGAGGAAAGAAAGAAGAAGAGGGAGUCCAAUUCCAAGUCCCACGACACGAGGAGGUCUAUUACUAUUUCUAUUUUGUGUUAGUACUCCCUCAAUCCUAAAAUAGGUGCAAUUUUGCACUGUUUAUGUCUCACAUUUAAGUUGACAGUACAUACAGACCUGCUUUUAUUUUUGACAACACAUACAGACCUGAUCAACAAAUUAAUUACUCCUGCAAUCUUCUUCUCUCUCCGAUACGAAUUCAUCGUCGUCGUCAUCAUUUAUAGUACCAGUGUUGACAAAGCUAGCUACUAUAUAGUAGCUAAAGAAAUGUAAGCUGGCAUGUAGUGAUUAAUGUACUCGUACGUGCCACGGGUAACAAACACGUCUGGCCGUGGCCGCCCGGCGACUUUUUAAUUUGUUCCCAAAACACUAUCACCUUGCUUAGCUGCCUUUCCUCAAUUCAUCCUCUCUCUCUGACAAUCUCUCCGUCAGCAUUUCUAAAUUCUAACCCAGCAUUGCUUACUUCAAUCUUCUCGCCCUCCAUCUCAGACUUGUUCCUUCAUCCUUGUUGAUUGUCUCCGUCUCUAUCUACACCUUGCCGCCUUUCCUCAAUUCAUCUCAUCCUCCUUUUUUUUUUUCUUUCUUUCUUUCACAAUCUCUCUCCCUCAGCAUUUGUUUGUAAUCCGGAAUUGCCUACCUCAACACGAUCAACAUAUGCCAAGUCUAAUUUUCACCAUUCCCCCAUAUGAACGAACACUCAACCAAAACCAUGUGUCCAGAUAGAUGGACCAUUUCUUCCGCUCACACGUACUGUAUAUCCAUUCCAGACGCCAAAUUUUGCUUCCCGACACUCAUCUUGGACCAUCCAUAUAUAUAUAUAUAUAUAUAUAUAUAUAUAUAUAUAUAUAUAUAUAUCGCACCUGGCUCUGCAAUGCAAGCCCAUUAUAUCCACCAUAAGCUACCUAGCUACCUGCAUCUCUCUUUUUGCUAAUUCCAUGCAUGCUGCUUCUCAACAAGCAUUCCACCACAGAUGAUGCAUAUAAACAUGAAUUCAUGCCUUCAAGCAUCUGAUAUUUACACACCACAUCACAUUUGCCGCCCGGAGUUCUGCAGUUUCCACACGACUAUUUACACAACCACUUUCCUCUACUAUAAACACUUGUGAAUCUUAAACUGAAUACUGAUCCACAUUGGGGUACAACUAGCAAGGACGCAGUGUACAUCUUCACAAGUGCAACCGAAUAUUUACAGACCCCCCCAUAUAUAGGGUCAGUUUGGAGCUAGCGCUCAUAUGGGCUUCCACGCAGUUAUGACCUCUUGGAACAUUUCCAGCAUCAGCUCACGAUCUGCGUGCUGGAAGAAGCUAUUGAUCUCCUCCCUCACAUCGUAUAUCUUCCCAAAAACAAACAGGUAGGUCAGGCACCCUUUCUUCAGCUUUUGCAGCUGGUACAGCCACGCGACGUGAAGCCUCUCGAGGACAUUGCUAGAGUUUAUAUCCUCCAGGAGGCUCUCCUCGCAGCAGUCCUUGAUAUCAGAAAUGCUGUACUUGUUCGCUGCGGCGAGCAGCGAGAGGCGGUGCUUCCAGAACUGGUCUAGCUUUAUGGUCCCGUAGAUGAAGCCAAUCAGAGCAGAGCAAGACUCAAGGCACAUGUCAUUUAUGUUGAUUGUGGAGGACUCCUUUUCCUUGAGAUCAUGGAGGAACAUGCUUUCAAACACAGGAGAACAUGAUGCAAGGAUGGCCUUAUGGGCCUUGAGGACACCAUCAGUCGUAUUUAUGGUGACGUCUGCAUGUAUCGACUCCGUGAGCAUGCGCGAAAGGCAUCCGAGACUGCUCUUACUAGCAAUGUUCUGCACCGCUAUGCUUUCAUUUGGCCAAAUCGAGGUAGAUGAUUCUGCAGCCUGUAACCAUAUCACAUUACAUUAGCAUAUUAUUAUUAUCAGUAGGCAUCUGUUUGAACAGUAGGACUUGUCAUAACCUCCAAGCCACAUACAUACAUACAUACAUAUAUAUAUAUAUGUAUACACACACACACACACACACACACACAUAUAUAUAUAUAAACUACCGUGUAAAGAAAGAGAAGUGUGAGAUGUUCUGAAAAAGAAGCGGAAUUAUUUUGGAACCAAUUUUGAGGACAAGAGGUGGAUACUUGCAUUGUUAGAGGCUAUCUUCAGGUCCAAAAACUCAACAUCAAUAGUGAAACGCCCAGCGUACAUCGUAUCAAGUUGCCAGAAAAAGUCUUCGCUGCUUCGGAGGAGAUGCUCAUGCACUGUCAGGAAAAAUUGGACAAUACUUAUGAAGAUCAAUGAGGCUGCCCGUAACAUCAGUAAAACAUCACUGCAGUAGCUAUAGAAGCAAGAUGACUAUGGAAUGACUUGGAAAUAAAAGCCAUUGGGCUGUUAAUGCUUGAAAGUGAACAUUACCCUAUUUUCGUUCUAUUCAUAUUAUAACAAUGACAAAGCCACCCAAAUUCCAGUAAACCUAGUGUCCUGUGAAAAUUAGAAAACAGACACCUUAUGUUUCAUGAAGGAGAUGGUGGAGCUGUUCUGAGCUUAAAAAGGUUCACCCAAAACUAAAGCAGUAGAAUGGAAGGUAGAAACAGUCUUCUGCGUAUAGCCCUUCCCUUUGAGUUAUUGCUCACAUGAUAGUUGGAAUUAAAAUGAAAGUGUUAUGCAAGAAAACACCUUUUCCCCCCAAUAUGCCCUACGAGUAUUUCAUAGAGAAAUAUGAUGACCAUAUGCAUAGGGAGGGUCUGACUCUUUGGGAGCAUCUUCAACUAGCCACCAUACCUGAAUGGUGAAUGGUACUACUAGAGUAGAUAGCUGGUAAGGGAAGUGAAGAAGUGCUCUAUUAGACAAUUUGCAGAUAGCAUGUUAAGUGGUCAGGUCAGGUCAGGUGUUCAAAGUCUGAAGAUGGCAUGGAGAGUGAAGACAAGACAUGCACUAAAACGGGGAUGGUCCAUAGCCUAAAGCUAAAUAUGGUGGUGGUGGCAAGAAGAAAGAAGAAAGUAGAGGAGUAUAUGUACCAGGGGAGACGCAGGAGCGGCGUGGCGGGCCGGACCAGCAAGCUCGGAGAAGGAAGCGGGCGAGCGGGGGCCGUUCCUUGGCCACCCGCCCGGGCUCCGGGAACAGCCUCACGUAUACAUAUCGAGCCUUCUCCACCGAUAGGUACCUGCACGGAUUCGGAUCGAAUUGGCGGAUGAUUUGAUUUGAUAGGGCAAAUCGGUGAUCUCUGAGUAGUGGGGGAUUGGGAUUGGGAAGGGAACCAGUUCCAGAUGCCGAUCUUGAAGGAAUCGGAGCGGCGGUAGGAGGAGGGGCCGAAGGUGUCGAUGCGCCACUGGGCCAGCCGGGAGAUGGUCUCCACCCGGUUCUCCCUCUCCAUCCCGCCGCCGCCGCCGCCGCCGCGCCGUCUCCUCUCACUCUACUUGUAAUAACUCCCGGUAACAUAACUCAUUAACUUUUCCUUUUUCCUGGUCAACAACAUUUUUCUUAUCUUAGAAAAAAACAAAGAGAUAAACUUUAAGCCUGUUCAGAUUGUAGCUAAAAUAAACCUUACUAAUUUUUAGCAAGAUGGCAAUAUUACUAAAAUUUUAGUACGAUUUCUUAUAUAUUUAUCAAAUUUAGUAACAAACUAAACAUAAAUUUUAUUUGGCAGCUUUAUAAAAAAUAAUAUGGUUGAAAAUGGCAUCAAAAUGAACAUGCCCUUUCCGAGACAUCACAUUUUUAUGGGUGAUGCAAUGUAUCAAAAAAAAUACACACAAUUUUGAAAAGUAAUUUUGAAAUAGAAGAUUUCUAUUGUAGUAUAAAUACACACAAUUUUGGAACCGGACAACACAAGAUGCUCAAGGGAAGAAUGCCAAGAGAAAAAAAAAUUAAAGAAAAAAAAAAGGUCCCACCGGGAUUCGAACCCAGGUCGCCAGAUUCAAAGUCUGGAGUGCUAACCACUACACCAUGGAACCAUUAUUGUUGCUAAUUAUCUCUGUAAACUUAUUUAUACAAAUAAUAUUCGUUAGAGCCCACUUGAGACGGCCCAUUAGUUUAUAGAAUGAUAAUAGCUAGGCCUCUUUCGUCAGAUGGUUCGACCUUCCAAGUCCAACUGUACGCACCGCUUCAAAUCUGUUUGCUCCCUCUUCAAUUAUUCUCCUACAUUGUUUACGAGGUUUAGGGCUUGUUCCUUCUAAAGAAAUUGUAAUGGAAAAGUACUGAAAUAUGUCAUCCUUUAACACUAAACUGCCCAUUUGUUUUAAAGAAACUCACGAAAGGCAAAUUUCAUAUCCCUCUACUUUAGGAGGAAAAAAAAUCCACCUCAACAUAAUGUUUUCAAUCCUUUGUACUGUUUACCGAACAACCAUAGAAAAGUUUACUAUGUUUUCAACCCUUAGGUUUGCACAUGUAUUAUCAUAUAUUCCUACUUUUUUUUCUAUUUUUAUGUUGUGAAAAUCCUACAAAGCAAAUGAGCCCUUGAGGGAAACAAAACUUUUUUUUUACCAAAAAUGUGGUGACACUUUUGUUCAUUUCAGCCCUAUAUAUGUAAUCUCUCUCUCUCUCUCAUUUUAGUAUAUAACUAUCUCUCAUAUCAUAUCUUCUAGGCAGUUGAUUAAUUACUUUUAAUUUUGUUUCUCUUAAACACAUGUAUUAUCAUAUAUUCCUACUUUUUUUUCUAUUUCUAUGUUGUGAAAAUCCUACAAAGCAAAUGAGCCCUUGAGGGAAACAAAACAUUUUUUUACCAAAAAUAUGGUGACACUUUUGUCUAGUUCAUUUCAACCCUCCCUCUCUCUCUCAUUUUAGUAUAUAACUAUCUCUCAUAUCAUAUCUUCUAGGCAGUUGAUUAAUUACUUUUAAUUUUGUUUCUCUUAAACAUUGUGUAUUAAAAAAAAAUACAAUGUAACUGCAGAAAUUUAUAAUAUAACUUUAAAAAUUUACAAUGUAAAUGUAGUUAAUAUAUAGCACAAAAAUGAUUUGACUAUUUUCUAUUUAAAUUGUGGCGCAAUAAAUAUAGCUAGUCAAGAAAAUAGAAUAUCUCUACCAUAUCUAUACUUCUUUAAAAAGACUCUAAAGUUGUGUUCUUUUGGGCGGGUUGGGAACCUCUCACCUCCACAUGCAAAACGGAGCGAUAGAUUAACACAUGAUAACGUGGCAAUGAUGCAUCUGUCUUUCCCUACCUAUUUCCGUUGUAGCUUUUACAUAUUACCCACUUAAACUUCUUAAUAUUACAUAAGAACUAAAUCUAAAUAGAUAGCCACAUGUAAAAUUAAAUUAAGAUAACUAUUCCAUAUAGGAAAAGGUAGAUAACAUAUCUCACAAAAAAGUACUUUUCUUUAUUUUGAGAAAUAUUGUGAUAUUUUUUGUACUUUUAUCACUAGCAAAGUGCGACAUUUAGCUAGUUAGAAAAGCUAGCAUACGUCAUACCAUCCCGGUACGUAUAUAAGACAAUAUAGUCAUGUAGUCCACACGUUACAGCCGAAACAUGGCCAUACCUUAUGCUCAAUGUCCCCAUGCCCAAGCCUAGCCAUGUGACCACACCUUGAUUCUCCACAUUCCUCCUCUACUAAAUUGCUCAUGUCGAAGAGCAUAUGCAGGCCUAGCGCAACAAAUACAUGCAGCUGCGUGAGCCGAUUUGAUCAUACAUAACUUUCUCCCUAGUUUUUUUUGUUCUUAACUUAAUUUUUCCCCUUCAUUUCAUUUGAUUUCAUUUGUCAGUAUUAACUAAUGCACCAUACCCUUUUAUUUGUAUAUCUUAAAUUUCUUACUCCAAGCACUAUUGGAGCUAUGCAUAUCGACUGGUGAUACCAUGAUAAUCUUAUGUAUUCAAGGGCAAACAUUAAUAAUAUUUAGCGAUGCUACAUUGAUGAUACUCUACUAAUGCACCAAUUACACUUAUAGCAUGCUAAAGAUAAUCGUAAACAUAUUAUACGGUCAAUACACCAACAAUAAUGAUAAACAAUGAUGAAACCCUCAAUACAAUGAUGAUAUUCAUGACACAUUGAUACACCAACGGUAUGAAGUGGACAAUAUAUUUGACAUGCCAAUGGUACUAUCACCCAAAGGAUAUCUCAAAUACAACAAUACCAUGCCUAUAAUACCUCUCAUGCAUCAACAAUAACACGUUGAUGAUACCUCCAACACACAUAUAGUACUCAAAUUGGAAUAUCGAUGAUAUUUGAAAUACAUUGACCAUAAAAAAACUAAGAACUCAACAUUAUGAUAUAUCCACAAUACUAUAGUAUCAUGCUACUUGUUGAGUCAUAAUACCUUUGUGGUACCAUGAAGAAUCAUUGAUGUUUUGUGAUACGUCUUGAUUUCAUCAAUUCAUGAUACCCGUAGGUAUCACGGAUAUUUCAUGAUACCUAUAGGAUUAAUGGUACCUUGUAGAUAUCACCGAUGUUUCCAUCAUGACACCUUGUGGUAUCAUGAUACCCGUAGGUAUCACCAAUAUUUCAUGACACCCAAAUGUAUUAGGUACCUUUGUUGUAUCAUGAUACCAGUUGGUAUCACCGAUAUUUCAUAAUAUCCAUAUGUAGCAUGGUACCUUGUGGUGUUAUGAUACUCGUAGGUAUCACUGAUAUUUCAUAAUUCCUAGAUGUAUCAGGUACCUUGUGGUAUCAUGAUACCAAUAGAGAUACCAUCGACAAUUCAUGAUACCUUUAGGUAUCACCAUGUUUCAUGGUGCCCAUAUGUAGCAUUUACAUUGUUGUAUCAUGACGUACCACCAAUGUUUCACGAAGGAAUCCUCUAUAUAGGUGUGUGUCAGGGUUUAGGGGUAACUAAAUUUCUAUAGUAACAUUAUGAAGCUAUAUCAAGGUUGUAAGAUUAUAUCAUAGAGAUAUCACCUAUAUUUAUAGUGGCUUUCAUAUAGUGUUGUCUGAUAAGCCAACAAGUAGAUAAUAAAGGCCUAUGUAGGUAUUACUAAGGUUUUAUAUAUGGUGCUAUCAGUGAUAUGUAUAUCACAAAAUUUUCAUGAACGUGUUGAGCUCAUCUUUUCCCUUCGUCGGUCCAGCCCAACUGCUAUCUAUCCUAAUUAGAGAGGGAGGCAUGCUAUCCUAGACCAAAACACACAAAUUAUGCUGACAAGAACGGCCACUAAAGCCAGCCCAAUCCGGCCAAUGCACAAAGCUUAAUCUAGCAUGGGCUAUGUAACGCGUGCGGGCCGAUAGGGUUCCAUGGCUAGCACUUAAGCAAAAUAAGUGCUCAGCUCGCGAAAUAGUGGCACGUUGAACAUAAGUAGAAGCACUAGCAAGUCAGGUAUACCAUUAAGAUGAUAUAUCGUACGCUAGUUGCUCCCUAUGUAAAAACAUAGCGGAAAAAAUAUGGUUCCCUAUAGUUUUUUUAUCUGUAGAGAACAAAGGGUAGAGGGCCCACCACACUCUUACCAUCGUCUACCAGCAUGCAGAAAACAACAUAGGCAGUGCCAUAAAAGUUGUAUGGGACAAACUCUCAUUUGCUUCCUAAAUUUUUUUGCUUUGACCCAAUUUUGUUUUUUUUUCGCCAUCUCUCAUCUCUAAUAUCCCCUUUUCUUAUGCUCCUUCCAUCCCAAAAUAUAUAUACAACUUCUAGAGUUCAAAUUUUGUCCCAAAUAAAACAACCUAAUACUUGUAAAAGAUGAUUUUUACAACUAAACUACCUAUACUACCCCUUAACUUCAUUAUCACCUGAAAGUCUAGGUCCACAACUCACCCACCUUGAGGAGACAAACAAGUCUUUUUACCCCCUCUCCUUAAUAUUCACUGAGAAGAGAGAUAGUAGCUAGUGGCUAAAAUUGGCUAUAUUUUAGCAUGCGCACGCGUGUUGUGUGUGUGGACUCUUUUCUAACCUCAAUCUAGAGCUACCUCUAUUCUUCUCUUCUCUGGUGAAAUGAGCAACCAUGAUCUCCCACCUGCCAGCAGUAGGUGUCCUCCUAACUUUCCAUCCAUGACCCCCCCCUCAAAUCACUAAAAUUUUCAUCCCAAUUAAAACCCUGCUCUAAAGGUGCAAUCCUCAUCGAACCUAAGACUAGCAUCAGGUUACUUGUGCUAGGCAGGUAGGUAACUUGUCCUCAUGCGUCCCACUAUUCCUAGAGGUUCUCAGUUAAGUAGAUCGAGGAGGAGGUAGAUGUAGUAAAGAGGUGGUGGCCUUGGCGUGUUAUCUAAGAGUGAUGUAUGAUCGUGUGUCAUUUACAUCUUAAAAUUGUAGCCUUAAAAAUACAAAUCUUAAGGGGCUGUGUGUUGUUUAGUUGCCUGAAAACAAGAAAAAAUUAGUAAAACUUUGAAUAGCCACAAUAUAUCGUUUUAAGAUUCGUGCAAUUCCCUAACCCUACCAUUUCUUAUCUUCUUCCUUACAUUCUCGACACAAUUCCUCUUUAUCCCUCCCGAUCCCCCAACCCAACACACACCUCCUCUUCCACCAUGCCAUAUGUACAGAAAUUGUUCUACUCCUAACCAGAUAGAGCAUGGCUAUUGAUUUCACUAGAGAGGCGUAGAUGAGCUUUAGUGUGCCCCACCCUUCUUUGUGCCAUCGCCCCCACCAUGCUCUUUCUUCAUUUUCCCAAAGAGAUACCCGGCUCGCCCCACCUUGCCUGUCGGAUUAUCCACCAACUCCUAGUUGAUCACCUCACCCCUGCCAACAACUGACCCUCUCCUUGCCUGUGGCUCCAACGCCAUCACUGUCACCUUGUACCAUAUACCUUCACCAUCGAGCUGCCACCUCCACAGCCAUCCCUCUAAGCACUACAAUGGUGCUAGCUUUCCUUGACGAGGCAUUUUCAUCAAGAAGUAGCGCAAUCCACACGCACAUAUGCUGGAGAGAGACGUUGAUGGAUCUAUUAAAGGGGAUGGGUGGAUUUGGGGGUUUGCGGGUGAAAGGGCAUACAUACACACGCUGAUUUAGAAAACGAAUGCCGGACAAAUGCAUACGGUCCAUGUAAACACUGGAAAAAUGCACAUGUUUUCUCUUACUUACACGUGGGGCUUUCUUGAAACUAUAUAUUAUUGAUUAGUUAUAUGAUGAAAAUACUUGUACACCUAUGCUAGUACAGUUGUUACGACUAAUUAGGCCUAGAUUAUAUAUGACGAAUUUUUCCAUACAAUCCCAUACUUACAAAUGGGACCAACUUUGUUGUGGGCUCAUGAGGACCCUGCCUACCAAGUUAUACAACAAAAUUCUUCGUCACCGUGUGAUAGCCCAACUAUUAAUGACAAAAUCCACGGCGUUUGUGAUGAGCCCGUUUGUCGCCGUGAACAUAUAUUAUGACCAAGGCCUCCAGUUAUUGCUAGGAUUGGUUGAGGGUGAAGUUUACGAUGACUGUUUAACGAAUUUGUCAUAGAUCAAUGACGUACGGAUUCCCUAUUCGUCACACGGAAUGCGUAGAAAGCCUAUAUCUAUUUUAUUGAAGCCCUGGGAAGCCCCCGCCUUCCAUUCCCCCCAACCCCUCUCUCACCCCACCCAACCUUGGGACUUAUAAUUGGUCUGUGCUGCCAUCUUUAGGCAUUGCCGGAGAGAAGAGAUGCUUGCUAGAGGAAAUAAAAUAGCUGCUCGUGGAGAAGAAGAGGUGCAUGAAUUUCCAUGUUCAUCUAACUAUUAAACUAUACAUUGGAAUUUUCGAGGAAUAUUUUAGGUGAUAGAAAAUUAAUCCCCAAAUACUAAACCCUUAGAAUACAUUAAUUUUCACAUAAUACAUUACUUUUCUGUAAGAUAAGAUCGGAAGUGAGAUAUCAUGGGGUACUCAAUUUGGGCACAUGAAUAACAAAAGGAUGGAAACAACUGAUGAUUGCGUUAGGGUGGACCGCCCCAGCCGGUGUGUUAUGAUUGCAGUGGUAGUGGAAGUUGCUAUCCACGUAUAUAAUCCCGCGGCUUCAAUUUCAAUUAUAUUCGUUCUGUUGAUUAACAGUGAAGGUAUCUGCUGAGUUUAAGCAAUGUAGCAAUCUACUAUCUACCUAGCUAGGUGUACUAACAAACUGUGUUUUGUAUCUAUCAACUAAAAACAACACAUGCAGAAACAAGUGAUACGUACGCCAUGAUCAAUAUAAUGUUACAUUAUAUUUAAACAAUGAUAAAAUAUAUAUAUAUACAAAUUAAUUGAUCAAUACUAUAUAUACUGCAGAGAGGUGGUGUACACAUUAAGCAGACAACGAUAUAUGUAUACAUAUAUAUGAUGUAUAUAGUGAUAGUGCAUAUAUAUGUGUAUAUAUAGCACCUAAUUAAAUGCUAGCUAACUUAAUCAUCAUCAGUUACAAACCUCUCUCAGCAAUGAGGUCAAAAGACGAACAACCGAUAGAUACACACACUGACACUAGUAGCUAAUUAAUUAAGAAUGAACUAACAACCGUGUACUGACAUAAGCUAGAUAGUAAGCAUGCAGAUGGCCUGAUGAUGGCCAGUGGUCAAAUUAAUGUAUACAUCAUGGAGACGGAGUAAUCAACUAAUUAAUAGUACACUCGAUCGUUUAAUUGUGCGUAUUUGUAAGAAUUCAUGCAUAUAUAUGAUGAAUGAAUUGUCAAUUGAUAAUAAUCGAUCUGGAUCGAUCGAUCAGUCUCGGUCAUCGAUGAAGCCUGACGAAGAAAUGUUGUUGCUGUUCUUGGAGCUAGAAGCGGAAGGCAGGUGGUGGAAGAGCUGAUGCGCCGGCGGCGGCAGCAAGCUGGUGAGCAGGUUCCAGUCGACGAUGCCGGCUUGCUGAUCGACGUCGACGCAGCUGCUAGCCUGCGAGACGUAGCCCUCGCCGUCGACGAUGGUGGGGCUCUCCAGAGGCGGCAUCAUGUCGGAGAAGUGAAGCUUGGACUCUGAACUCAGAAUGUUGCUGUGGUCGACGACGCUGUUAUUGUUGUUGUUGGCGAAGAGAGCUGAGGCAGCGGCGCUCAUCAAUGGCCGCCCGGCGAAGCUAGGGUUGUCGUGGUGCAGCAGCAAGCUGUAGUUGUCGGGGACGGCGGCGUAGGCUCCGGCGCCGUAGCUGCCGGGGAUGCAGCCGUAGGACAGCCUGUGCUGCUGCUGGUUGGGCAUCGGCUUCUGAAACGCGCGGCAAACCACCCAACCUUCCUCCUGCAUCCAUAUUCCAUAUUAAUAUCCAUGAAUUAACAUAUAUAGUAGGACAGAUAAUUAAGUAAAGAAGUAAAAAAUUAAGAUGGAAUGGAAUAGGUGGUUGCAAUGCAUGCCUGAGUAGGGGCGUGUUCGUUUGAUUGGAGGCGGUACUCGUGGAUGAUCCAGUCGGUCUUCCGGCCGUUGGGGGCGCGACCCUUGUAGAACACCAGCGUCUUCCUCAUCCCGAUCACCCUCGUCGACGGCGACGAGAGCACCGGCUUGUCGCGGCCGGUGGCCUUCCAGAAGCCCGCCGCCGUGGCGCGGUUGGUCCUCGUCCCGCUGGGGUACUUGCGGUCCUUGUAGCUGAAGAAGUACCACUCCGUCUGCUCAUCGCCGCCAUGCCCACCGUACUUGCAACGCUCUGCCACAUAUAUAUAAUUCAUCAGAAUCAUCGAUCGUUCAGUUCCCAAAUUAAUUGCUGAAUUGAUAUUAAUUAUGCAUGAAUAGAAUGCAUGGUUUAUUUAAUGUAAUGGAUCAGUACGUACCUUGCAGAUCCCAUGGCUCGAUCCUGUAGAGAUCGAGCUCCUGGAUGAUGUCGAGAUCGAUCUUCUGGGAGGCCACCUUCCUGGCGAGGUAGUAGCCCACCAGCUCCUCCUCCGUCGGGUGAAACCUGAACCCCGGCGGCACACAUGGAGACUCUCCUGCCUCCUCCUCAUGCCGAUCCAUUGCUAUUUCCUCCGAUCGACCGAUCAAUUCUUCUAGCUAGCUAGCUAGGAGUAUCGUGAUCUUUGCUGUAUAUAUAUCUAGCUGAUGGAUGGUUGGAAUUUGAUUGCCUGGUGACUCUCUAUGCCUCGAUCGAUUGGCUGCAGAUCAAAACAAGCAUAUGCAGAAAAAGCUAUAUCAUCAUCAGCUAUAUAUAUGUCUUCUUCAGAUCGAUGCUCAUCAAUUUUCAGCCCAAUCUCAGAUUCUCAUGAGUGUAUAGUAGCUAUAGCCUAUAGCUAGAGCAAUGAACUGCAUGCAAGUGCAAGUGCAAGCGCAUCUGGAUGGGUCCAAGGCUGGAAAAGCUCCUAGAAAUAGGACAGACACGGCCACUCAUGCAAUGGAACAUGACCUAAUCAGCCAGCCAGUAGUUGCACCAUACCUAUACAACCUAGUCGUACAUACAUACUAGUAAGUAUACCUUUAAACCAAUCAAUAUUCUGAAGCUAGCUAGGUCGACCGGGGAGACUAGCUUCAUGCAUCAGAUGAAUAUUAGAACUAAUUAAGAACACGGACAGUCAGCAGCUAGCAAGCUGUACACACACGCCUGUACCUACUAAUUAAUUAGUACUAGCAGUUUGAUUAGGGACAGGCAGGCAUGCAUGGACUAUAGCAUAUAUAUGCAGCUGAAACUAAGGGUACCUUCCUUAAGCUAGCUGCUCAGCUUGUAACACACCAAAGUUGGGCUUCUGCUGCAUGCAUGCUAGCUAGGAGAGAUGAGAACUGGAAAGUAGUAGUACUGGCUUGUGGACAGUAUGAGAGGCUUUUUGGAGGGUAGAGAGAGAUCUACAAUAAUAAUAAUGUGUGCAAUAUUUGUCUUCCUAGCUUGGAGUGCACUUCAGGGCUCAUAUCCACCAUCCAUACAACCCUCUCUCUUACCAUACAGCCAUAUAGUACUAGUACUAGCUCCUCCUUUCCCAAUCUUACCUAAAGCCUGCUGCUUGUUGAGCUCCUGGUCACAUCUUCAAUAUUUCUCCACACAAAAAUUAUAUGCGAAUCUAACAUAAUACUGCAUGCGCAGGUAUGUAACAACGACUCGUGCAUAUAUAGGUACGACAUACCAACAAAUUUAAUUAAGAUCAUGCAUGCAAGAAAUAUGUACUCGAUCCUUAGUUUAAUUGGCAUAUAUAUAUGACGAAGUGCGCGUGCACUCACCUAAUUAGAUAACCAUAUGCAUGAAGUACAGCGCUACAGCAGCAGCCAGAAGGAGAUCUUCUCCCAAGUCGAUCCCAACUAUAAUGAACACUGUAUAUAUUAUAUAUGGUGGCUGUGUAGCUAGCUAUAGAUGAGAUGAGAUCAAAAGAUGGAUCGAUGAUGGCAAGGAAUUUAGUUGGUAUCUAAGCUAAGGGAGCUUUGUGAGCUAUUUAUACAUGAGAAAAAGCGAGCUUAUGAGUGCCUGGGCUGUGCAAAGAUGAGGAUAUGCAUGGUACAUCAUCGCUCGAUCGAUUAGCGCUAUAGCUCUUGCUUAAUUGAUUAAGUGCGCGUGGAGUGGAGAUCUUCAGCGCGUGUAGAAUCUAGACCGAGAAAGAGACACCACUAUACUGUGUACUACAGCAUGCAUUCAGAGAGAGAGAGAGAGAGAGAAUUAAGCAUGCAGCAUUGCAGCAGCUAGCUAGCUAUAGCUAACUUGUUUGGUCGGUUAACAAGUCACCAAGCGACCACCACCACUCAGUACAUGAAAGCGACUCUCAAUUUGUUCCCAGCAGCGCCUGCUCAGACUUGAGUACAAACAAACUCUCAUCAGCUAAUUAAACUAGCUUAAUUAGCUAGCUAGCUAGCUAACUACACAUCCAUCGAUAUGAUAUGAUAGCUAGAUCGAUCCCGAUCAUAUUCUUCCGCGUUUAUAAUUUGUCCUAUUGAAUUGAAGGAAAAAACCACUAGAGAUAUUAUUAAGCAGACAAUAACAUGCGCAAAACCGUUGCUUUCUAUAUAUCUCCCCCGACCCGGCCAUUUAAUUAAUUCCUACAUAUCUCACUUAGUGUAUCCUAAUAGACUUAUAUCUUAGUUCUCUUAGUGUGUAUACAUAUUUUUUCCCAAAGAAAGAUUAAUAUAUAGUUAGUUAGUUUAAUCAACAACUGUGCUAUAUAUAAAACUAGUGCAUGCUCUAUCAGAUUGCAUCAGGAGACCCUAGCUAGUAAGAUAUAUAUAGUAAAAAACAAAUAAGAUUGCCUGAUAAGAAAGGAAGGAAGGGAUGAUACAUGCAUUGUAUGGCCAAAGUUGUCUACCAUAUCCAUUUUUCCGCCGUUAUAUUGAGCUUCAAGGGUAGCUUUUGCUACUUAGAACAGACGCUAGCUCGAUCUAGCUAGGUUGUUCUUCCUGUACAGUAUACAUAUAUAAUUAAUCAUUGAUUUGUUUUGACAGGGAAGGGCAUGAUCAUAUGUGUGCGUGUGGAGCCCACAAAUCAUACGCUAGCUAGCUAGGUAUGGUACGAUGUAUCGAUCGAGCAAUAAUACUGGCCUGCAGCUACUACAUAUAAUAUGAAUGAUCGAUAUAUAUCAUCCUAUAUCUUGGCCGGGAUCGAGGGAAGCACACUACAUAAAAUACAUAUAUACGCAUCAUUGCUUGUGUUGCAUGCUUGCAUUGCUAUUCUCGUCUCUGGCCGGCCAUGACAAUAAUAUUUGUAUUUACACUAACACUAGUGCUUUGUUCUAGCUUAUUUAAGUUUGGUGGUUGUCACUGUCUGGCUUGGUGAAUGCACGUAAUGUCUGGCUCCACACUCAAAUGAUCAGAUAAAGACGGCUCUAGAUUCACGAGAUCUCUACAUGAUGUAUCAAAUUCAUGGUAAUUAAUAAUCAAGUCAUAUAACCCAUAUUUGGAAGCUAGGAGUUCUCUAGACCGACCUGCUGCACCGUAAUUAAAUGGUAAUUAAUUAAUCAAUAACUAAAAGAGAUCAAGCUAAGUGUGUUCAUAUAUAUAUAAAUCAAACUUAUCGUGUCCUCUAUAGAUCAUAGUAGCCAACCUGCCCCCACUAACAAUAACCAACCAAUCAACAGUAGCUAUAUAGCUUCAUCAGUAUUAUAUUUUCCUAUAGUUUCUUUUUUGCUUCUGUUCCAAGGUUUAGUGUGGAUAGAGUUGAUGUACAAUAGCUAGUACCGAUUGACCCUUCUUACCAUCAGUUCGAUCUGAUCACAUUAUGCUAGAGUACUAUAUAUAUAUUCCAUAUCCAUUAAUUGCUGGAGGUAAGUUAAUAAUUUCAUAUAUAUUCCAUACCCCUCGCUCUUGGUAGCAUUUGUUUGCAGACAGAUUAAACAUGUAAAGUACAAGGAAUGCAUCAUCCAUGAUAUAUAUGCAGAAUUGUCACUACUAUAUACAAACAUUUAUUUGAUAGUGUAAUUAAAAGAAGAGAAAGAGUAAUAUGUACUGGUGAUUAAAUGUUACUACAUAUUCACAUUUCAUGUGCCUUUGGCAGCUAAUGAUAAACACAUACUAGGAUGAGAUAUGAAGUUUCCCAGUAUGUCCAGCAGAUUCAUUUUACAAGGAAAUGUUACAUCCUGUCCUAUGUUGAUUUUUUAUGGGACGGUAGGAGUUGUAUAAUAUAGUUUGUUUUUCUUGUAAGAUUGUUAUGUAUGAUAAGCGUGUGCACAUUUUAUCAAGAUCAAUAUCGCUCAUUCAGUCACAAGUCCAAAAAAGAACACCAUAGAAGUAGAGUCAAUCUAUUAUAUUAUUAAAAUAGCCUUGAAAGAAGGCAUGACGUUCGCUGUGGAGGUUACAAAUUCCCACAUUAAUCGGAGAAAAAGAAAAAAAGAAGAGUUCAAGUAGAAUAUAAUUUAGAAAUAUCUGAAAUUCGGAAUUAAAUAUAAGAAAAAUUGGAAGAAGAGUCCUUAUAUAACUGAAUACGAGAUUAAUUAAAAUUUGGAAUUAAAAAUAAAAUAAAUUCUGAAAUUAGAAAAGAAAAAAAGAUUUCAAGUAGGAAUAAAAGUUAGAAAUAUCUUAAAUUCAGAAUUAAAAAUAAUUAAUAUCUGAAGAAGAGUCUUAUAGAACUGAAUAAGAGAAUAAUUAAAAUUCAGAAUAAAAAUAGAAAAAUAAUUAUAAGAGUUCAAGUAGGAAUACACUUUAUAAAUAAAAAAAAUCAGAAUAAAAAAAUAUGGAAUUUUUAGAAAAAAAUAAUCAACCUAGAACUCAACGACGACAAAUAACAAUAGCAAGGGGACAAGUAAUAGGCCUGUAAAACAAUAAGGUAGUGAAUGGUUGAUGGGACAUCUAAAAAUUAUAAACAAAACCAUAAAUAGAACCCCAAGGACGAUUAAGAAGUGGAAUGAUAGACAAGACGUUAAGCAGCAUAGUCAUGACGGUUGGCGGGACUUCUAUAAAGUAAAAAAAAUAAAUCGAAAUAACAAUCAUGUUUUACUUUUAAAAUCUCAAUGAUAAUAAACAGGGGAGACAACGAGCAGGCCAUACAGGAGUAUAGUGGUGUGGAGCCGGCAACGGUUGGCGGUACUUCUAGAAAUUUAAAAAUGAAUCCUUAAAAUUUGAAAUAAAAAAUAAAAUAAAUUUUGAAAAUAGAAAAAUAAUUCUAAGAUUUCAAGUAGGAAUACACUUUACAGAUAAGAAAAUAUCGGAAUGAAAAAUAUGGAAUUUUCAGAAAAAAAAAUAGUCCAUCUCGAACUCAACGAUGACAGAUAACAAUAAAAAGGGGAGAAACAUUAGGCCCGUAAAGGAGUAAGUUGGUGGCAGUUGAUGCGACGUCUAAAAACUAUAAAUAAAACCACAAAUAUAAUCCCAAUGAUGAUUAAGAGGAGGGACGAUAGACAAGCCGUUAAGUAGCACGAUCACGAUGGUUGAUGGGACUUCUAGAAAGUAAAAUCCAAUGACAAUCAUGUUCAAUUUUUAAAAUCUCAAUGAUAAUAAAAAUACAUGAGUAUAGUAUGGCGGAGCUGGCGGCGGUUGGGCGGAUUUCUAGAAAGUAAAAAAUGAACCCCAACGAUAGUUAUAUUCAAUUUUUAAAAUCCCAAUAACAAUAAAUAUGGGAGACAACAGGCGGAUCAUAGAGAAAUACAAUAUUGACGGUUGACAACACUCCUAAAAAUUAUAAUAACAGAACAUGACGAGACAAUGGACUCUAAAAACUAGAAGAUGUUUUUUUAAGGUUUAAAGGAAGGUAAAUAAAAGCCGUGAUAGAUCGGGUAAACAAAUAAAGGAGUUAUAAAAGAGUAAGAGUUAAAUACUAUAAAAAUUUAAGGAUGAUAAGGUUCGAUCUUUUAAGGUUAUAAGUCAACAUAAUGGCCACUCACUCCGUUUCACAAUAUAAGUCAUUCUAGUAUUUCCCACAUUCAUAUUGAUGUUAUUGAAUCUGGACAUAUAUACUCCCUCCGUACUCAUAAAGGAAAGUCGUUUUGUACAGCGACACGGUCUCCAAAACACAACUUUGACUUAUUGUCUCUAUAAAAAUAUUUAUUGUAAAGUGAUAUAUGUAUACUUUUAUGAAAGUACUUUUCAAGACAAAUCUAUUCAUAUAAUUUUUACAUUUUCAAACUCAACAACUCGAGAGUUAUUCAUGAUUUAUAUUUCUAAGGUUUGACUUAAAUAUUGUCCUAAACGACUUCCUUUACAAAUACGGAGGGAGUAUCUAUCUAGAUUCAUUAACAUUAAUAUGAAUGUGGGAAAUACUAGAAUGACCUACAUUGUGAAAGGGAGGAAGUAUUUAAAAAAAGUAAGUAAUUUCAAAUAUAGAAAAAUGGAUAAUUUUAUAUGUGUGCUAGCCGCGUUGCACGGGUCACCCAGCUAGUUCUACAUAUAAAAGAGGGGGGUGGGGAGGGGGAUCGUCAAUUCCCUAGGAGCUCGGGCUUCAACUAUACAUACAUGUACUGUAUUUUUGUGAUAUUUAGCUUUAAAUCUGUAGUUUUGUGAUAAAUUUAUUGUUAAAUUUAUAGUUUUAUGAUAAUUUGCUCAAAGUACAUGUAAGUUUUGUAAAAUUUACUCAUUAAUUAAUUAUGUGCAGUUUAAUAAUUAGUAAAGGUUUCUUGUAGGACUGUACUGUGUAUGGUAAGCGUGUGCAUGCUUUGUCAAGAUCAAUAUCGCAAAGAGAGAUCAUGUUGAACACGCCACAGAUCUAUCGAUCGAUGAUCUAGACGAACGUACACAUAUCGAUCCAUCGAAUAUAUGAGACGUCUAGCUUGGAUCGAGAUGGUGAUUUAAUUUGAUCGUUCGAUCGCGAUGGAUUUACGCGUCAUCCAUGGACUAGUAGCUAGCGAUCCAACAUCGAUUUGUCUCAUUUUUACACUGGAUCUGAUCAAUCAAUCUCUCCUAUACAGUGUCAUCAGAAGCUCUAGCUCAGACACAGGGCGCUAGCUAGUAGUAGACCAAUUAUUGAUUAAUCGAUCAAUACCCGCGCUCCAUUCCAAUUCUCAGAUAUCAUUUAUAAUAAAAACGUACGGGCCGCAGAUUAUAUUUGUUGAAUAAUUAAAUUUUUGCAGAUCUAGUGGAAUUUAAAAUAGUUAUGUUUUAUAUGCAUCUCUUAUUUGGUUCUUGUAAAAUUUUAAUUGUAUCCAAUGUGUAAUUAUAUCAACCAAUCUAAUUAUUAUAAAUAUUAGUUGAACAAUCGCAUUACGAUGUUUAUAUUUCUAUAUUUUCCUACUUUUGUAAAAAAAUAUUUUUUGAGAUAAAUAUUUCGAGCGUAUGUACGUACGUACGUCGUCGCUGUCUCAUCACAUCACUUGGAGUCUUGGAUCGAUCAUGUGUAUCUGGAGAAAAAGAAGAUCGAGAGAGAGAGAAGAAAUUCCUAGCCUAGCUAGAUAGCUACUACAGGCAGAUCGAAGCAGACUCUUCUCCCUAAUUGGACCUCACAAACGCCGGCUGUCCCCUCCACUCGGAAUCAGGCAACUAGCAGUAGUCAAACUAAGGUGGUGUUUGGAUCCAAUCAUCCCUAUCAUAUCUGAUGUUUGAAUAUUAAUUUGAAGUAUUAAACAUAGGCUACUUAUAAAACUAAUUAUAUAAAUGAGAGCUAAUUCGCGUGACAAGUUUUUUAUGUCUAAUUAAUCCAUAAUUAGCACAUGUUUACUGUAGCAUCACAUAGGCUAAUUAUGGAAUUAAUGGGUUUAUUAAUAGUCUACGUUUAAUACUUCUAUUAGUAUCCAAAUAUCCAAUAUGACAUGGACUAAAAAUUUUUAGUCCCAUCCAAACAGCCCCUAAUACUACAUGCUGCAAAGGAAGGCUACAUAAAGCUAUCGCUAACAAAUACUCUAUCCGUCGCAAAAUAUAAGUAUUUUUGGAUCUUGACGUACACGGUCUCCGAGAUGCUACUUUGACCAACAAUAUUUAUAAAAGAAUGAUGUUUUAAAUAAAAAUGGUUGUAUAUUAUGAUAGUUUGUUUAAUGAUAAAUAUAGUAAAAUCAAUUUUACAUGAUUGAUAUUUUUUUAUUUUUUUCUAUUAAUGGUCAAAGUUAAAAUGUUUGACUUGUCACUAUGUUAAAAUUGUUUAUAUUUUAGAACGGAGGGAGUACUAGUUUGUUUAAAAGAAAACAAAUGGCAUUAGUACUUUGAUACGGCAGCUAUACUUCUAUCAUAUCCAUUGCAAGUAAAGUACAAUAAUAAACGGGCUCUAAAAAUUGCCACUCAAUAAAUAUUUAUAUUUGUAUGGUUACUACAUUGAUUGAAGAUGAUGUGUAAUUCUUUUGUGUGUUCACGAAAAAUAGAUAACGUGUUAAUUCUUGAGAAAUGAAUUUGAAAUAUAUUCGGAGAAAUGGAUAAUAUAUAGUGGAGCUAACUAUAGCUAAAAAUUAAGAUAAACACUUUACAAGUAGAAGGGAGUAGUAAUUAAAUAUUGACCUGACCGAUUUUUAUUUUAAGUUGAGGGUGUUAGUUUUGUCUGCGUUAGAUCGACCGACUCCGAGAGGAUUUGUAUUGUGUCCUUUUGUUGUGCAUCAAAUUAAGGGAAACUAAUACAGUAUGUCAUUCAAAGAAAGCAAAGAAAGUACUAUAGUGCUAGUCCUUAGCAAGAGUAGUCAAGAGUCAAGAUGGAUUCUUUGCGAUCCUCGUUGCACGAUGAUUAAGCAAAGUUGCUUUUUUUUUUGCUGGAAAAGUUGAUGUUGUGAUUGUGUAGGUAGACCUUGGCUAAUGAACUGGCUAUAUAUGUUAUGUUAUGUAUGUGUCGGAUUUUGGCUGGGACGGUCGGUAAUUUGCGUGACGGAUAGAAGCUUCUGGAGUAAUUUGACUGACCGUCACAUUCACAUCACUACUCACUUAAAAUUAAUUUGUCUUUCGGUCGGCCCAGUGGUAGUGGAGUUUGAUCGUUUCCAGCACCUUUCUGUUUCCAAUCCUACAGUAUCGAUCGUCAAUCUGCCUUCCUUUUUCUUUACUGAAAAGGCCACCACCUUAGCUAGCUCGUACGAGAGAGGAGAAAUAUGAGUUUGAUUUGGCUCAACCGGCCGGCACAAGAGCCGAUCAUAGUGUCCUCUUCUUUUCGGCUUACAUAUUAUGAAUUAUAUAUCAUAGGCACACGCUUCUAAUUAAGCUUCUAAUCUGUAGUAAGAGUUAAUCCAAAAUACUUUCUUCAUCAGUAUUUCUUACGAGAUAUCUUCUGAUUUUCAAAACAUAGUACAUACAGACAUGAAUGCUCAUAUAAACAAGCGCACAAUCACCAUAUUACUGAGUUGUGAUCCAAAUUCAUUUGCACAUAAUAAAGGCCAGCUUUUGCCAGAGCGAAGCGGAGGCCCGUCGCCGGAGGCUUAGGUCGGAGCGUUAUCCUUUUAAGGUUUCACCUUCAUAUAUACCUCUUGUAAGCCAUCGUUCGCCGUUGUAACCUUACCCCGAUAUAGUGAAGAUAUUUUGCUGACUGGCGCCCAUGGUUUUUCUCUCUUGUUUUGGGAGUUUUCUACAUUAAAUCUCGUGUCUUAUGUGAUUGAUCUAUUGUUCUUUGUCGUUUAUUUGCCUAUCGUUUCCUAACACUGAUGAGCAUACAUGUCUUAUUCUUGAUAGGUACGUCGCCUACCACUAUAAGAAAAUAGCCAUAAAUACGAGCGCAUAUAUUAAAUCUAGAACUUGAAUCUGAGUGGACAGAUUCUUCUAAAGAAAAAUAACCGGUUGAACUAUGCUUACUCUAUCUUCUUAGAGGACUUUUUAUGUCAAUAUUUCUACUUUUUAGUUUUAAUUCAUCAGUUUAUGUCCUUGAAUAAUUAUCAUAAACUUAUUUCCAUCCUUCAUCCACAUUACCAUAUCAAACACAUUACCAUAACUCUCACGCAAGUAAGGUGAAACAAGGACAUUUUUGCAAUUUUUUAGUGGCAGUCUUGUAAUAACGAUUCAGAGUAGUAGUAAAUUUGUAAUUGCCCAAAAAAAACUACAUACCUAAGCUAAGAAUGCGAAUGCUCUCCAUCUUUGUUUGGUAUUCACCUCCGGUCGCUCCACCUUAGGAGGGGAAGAAGGAGGGGAGGGUUGGCGCCGGUGGAGAAGGGGGAGGGCCGGUGCCGGAGUGGGGCACAAGUGGUCGUAGCUGGCACCGAUAUGCAUCAAGCGUUGGGAGGAGAUCAGAACUCAGGAGAAUAGGAAGAGGAAUAGUUCAGUGCUAGGUAGGGUGGAAUUUUUAUGGAGAACCCUCGUAAUUUUUAUGGAAUUUUUACAAUGAUAUCCUUAUAAGAGGAAUUUCUCUUAUUCUCAUUGUAUUUCGUGAAAAUACGAGGGCUUUUUAGGAAAAAUAAAACGAGUUGUCAGCUAGUGCGAGGGCUUGUUUGAGAUUAUGUAUACAGAUGAGGAGUUUUUGCAAAAUAGACUGAACACGUGUCAAAUUCUCUGAGAAACCAAAAAUGAGAAAAUUGGGAAGGAAGAAGUGUUAUGACCGGAGGAUUCUCUUCCAUUUCAAAUGUGAACCCUCUUUUGUCCUUAAUUCUCUGUUUCUUCUUCUUCUUCUUCUCAAAUACUCCUUAGGACUAGGCUGUUGAAUUUAUUUCUCCUACAUGGGAAUACAAGUUUAUAGCCCAAAUUAAACUCCAUGAGCAAAAGGGCAUAGGAGCAGCAAAUUAUUGUGUGAUUGUUUCAGCAUGUUAGGUUUAGAAUAUGCAGAGUUGCAGACCGUAUGAUGUGGCAAAUCCUCUCUUAGCCAAUGUUAUUGUUUUUUAGGAUCUUGUUAUGCUUUACGGUCCACACAAAUAACUUUGCAUUUAUUUUCAGUUUCCACCUUUCAUUGAAAAGGGCAUAAACACGGCCGUCGUAUCAAAUCACUUUUACUACCGCCCCAACCACUAUCACGGCCUCCUAAUGAUAAUAAAACCAGGAAUCGUAACUUAUUCCAACCAUCUACAUAUUUGAAAAACGAAAGCCUUUUGGAUGCUAAUGAGGAAAUAAAGUGAGAGGAAAUGUGCUGGAAAAUUGCUUCAGGAACUCAAAAGUGACCCGUAUUCAUAAUCACACUCAGAGAAGACACAGGUGUUAAAUCAAAAUGAGUUAUUGAAUAAGUAUUACAAUUGCAAAAUACCCUGUCAUUCAUGGAGCCAGAUUCUCAAUGGAAAAAGGAUUUGCCCUAUUACACAUAUUUCAGCAAAUACAGUAACUCGACUCCUGCCUUCGCAUGAAAAACAAGAAUGCGUGGGAAUACACAAGCUACAGGCAAAAGAGUCAAGCUCUGGGCCUCUGGCCAUGAUUUCUUCAAAUGUGAAAUGAUCCCUAAAUAAACACUGUUUUUGUGAACGACUGCUACAUGUCUACACAUGGUAAGUUCACACAAAAAAAUUCCUUCGGUUAGAUCAACAGUCCAAGGGAAGCAACUUGUCUGCUGGCCACCAAACAGCGUAGUUUCAGCUUUUCAGGUAGCUUAAGAUCAAUCCUGCUUGUUACGAACCUCACGAGCACGGUGCCUAAGCUCCGCCCUUUUCCAUCUUACCAUCAGCAGGCAGAGUGUGACAAGAGUGUUCACCUACAGAAACAAGACAAGAAACAGUUGCCCACAAUGCACGGGAUGGAAGACAGAAAUGAUCAACUGGAUGAGACAUGCACUUACCAAAAUAAGGAUCGUUAUCAAAAGGAGGGGCCCAGACCAGACAACUGAAAUGAACAGACCUUGGGGAUCAAAAUAAUUCUGGCUUGAGAAGCUCUUCCAGUGUUGCCCUAAGAAUGUAUUUAUUCUCUCAGCGAGAAAUACACCAGAAACUGCACCAAACCAACAAGAGCAGGUAAAUAAAAUAGUAAGCUAGCAUACCAGAAAUAAAUUCAUUCUUUAAAAUUGAUGAAACGUACAAAAUAACAUGUGUCAGAAUAUGAAAGAGAAUUUUCACUAAUGCUCCGCUAUCGUCUUGCAAACUAGGGUUGAGAUAUUCAUCCUAACAUAUAGUUAAUUCAUGCUGAAGAUAGCUGAAACAAGAGCAAUGCAUGCCCUUCACAUCUACUGCAUGGAACAAGAAUCUGGAAAGGUUUACAGUGCAUUAAUUGACAUAAUUCGCCAGUAACUUGUUCAAUAUUCCUACCAAUGUAUAACUCAGAAGGUUCUACCACUAAAGAAACUUACAUUAAAUUUAAGCAAGUAGGUAGAACUCCACACAAAUAUGUUGUUUUUUUUAUGGUUUUAGGGAACCUCUAUCCACAUUUGAGGGAAAACGUUAAGUUAGAAAGCACAUAAAAACAAGACAAUUAUGGUUGGUAGAGUAUAACAUUUAAUAUGAUACCAGCAGAAUAUAGGAAAAAAGGAUAAUAGUAUUUAUGUGAAUAUAAGCAUUCAAUAAACAUUAUAAAAUUGCAGGAGAACCAUGCAGGACAAUAUCAGCAACCAAGACAAAUCAAAACUUACAUGUUAAAGCUGACAAGAUAAGUUGGAAGUUGACAUUUCUCCUUGAGAUGAUUGUUACCAGCAGCAGAAUGGCAUGAAAAAUUAACAUGCUGAUCAACCAAGGUUCCUGAUGAAGGGAAUAAUAAAGAUUAUAGCACAGACAUAAAAAUUGAUACGAUGAGAUAUUGCAUUUACUAAAUGUUUGCUAGGUUGACGAAACAGACAAUUAAACGUGAAGGCAAAUUAGAUGUAGCAAAAUAUGGAUAUCCACUACCCAAAGUAUUCGGGUCACCACUGAAUUUUGUUUGUCUUUAAUACCACGGAUAGUGUGCAGUUGGUUAUUCAUUUUACAAUUCCAACUACCUAUAUUAGCUUUCAUUUAGUAUUCCUUGUUUUGAGAAAAGGAAGGAACUAGAAAUUCAAGGUGUAUGGUUGACUGGGUCAAGGAGGCUUUCCCCAGCAACAUGGUACACGGAUGGCCUGUCGGCAUAGAUGGAGCAACAUAGCAUGACAGUGCAAAGCAUGCGAAAACUCAGGUAUGGUAUCACGUCCCGAUAGAAGAUUAGACAUGUUCCUUUAUUUUAUAAUUUCCCUGAGAUGUUAGAGCUGUUGCGUUGUGUUUAUGAUAAUGGAAAGGGAGAGGGCUACCUCUUUGCUUGUGAAGAAAACAAAAUAGAUUAGAUAUGUCAUUCCGUAAGCAUGGUAUGACUACACAGUACAGUACACUUGUAAAAAACCCAAAGCUCAUUAGUUUUCUCCAUCUAUCGAUGGUUUCAUGUACAUAGGAAAGACAGGCACUCAAUAUUGUUGAUUGGGGCAAAGAAUUAUCGCCAUAGAAAUUAUAUAGUUAGAUCCGUCACAAGAAGCAUGCAUCAUCUUUUUUUGUGGGAUUUUGGAUGAAUAGCAAGCAUCACAAGGUGGGUGUCGUCAUUCAUUUGCUAAACUAGCACUACUCCCUUUGAUAAGCCCUCAACUAUAUACUGUAUCAGGUAGCCCUAUUGCUUUUCACUUGUCUUGUCUAAUCUAUCAUACUGAUAUUGAUGCGCGCGAGGCAGGGGAACGAAUUUUCUUACAUUAUUUAAUUACUUGAUGAUUGAGGAGCAAAAGGUUGAAGUGGGAAGUUAGAUCCCAGGUAGAUCCAGGGCAGAUGGGGGGCAAGAAGGCUAUAAGAAAGAAACCGACCUUCCAGUCGACGGCGUGGAAGAAGCCGAGGAAGGAGUCGAGGGCGGGGCGGAAUCCGGAGCGGAGGUCGGAGGAGACGCGCCCAAAGAGCUCCGCCACCACGUCGGCGUGCUCGUUCAGCGCCUCCCGCACCUCACCCACCGCGCGCCCCACCAUCUCCGCCGCCGACGCCGACGACGCCGCGUCGCCCAUCUCUCCGGCGAGUCCAAGGAAGACUCGAGAGAGAGGCGAGUGAGAUCGAUCCAAGGUUGCGGAGAAGACGAGAUGAGAGAAAAUAAUUAAUUAAAUAAAUAAAAGCCCCCUCUUCUGCUGAUCGGGGCCCACACGUCAGCCACCUAUAUACAGUAUAUGUUCUCGAAAAUUCUCUCUCUACAACUCUCGAGUAGUGAUUAUAUCACAGUUUCUCACCAUCUUCCGCGUGUCUUCCACUUCCAGAUGUUGCUAUGUUAACGUGAGCAAACAAUCUAUUCUUAGCUUAAUAAGAGCGACUAGACUAGCAGGCUACAAAUCGGCUAUAAGCACACGUAAAAAGAAGAAGAGAGAAGGAAAACGGGCUACAAAUUUAUAGCCAGUUACAGCACAGACUCUAAUAUAUUAUAUGUGUAUGAGAGGUGGGACCAUAUAUUAAUGGUAUAGUAUAUGCUUGUAGCUAACUAUUGUAUGAAUGAAUGAGCUAUUAGAUUGAUUAUACAUGAAUUGGAGCUAAUAGUUGGCUAUACUGCUAAACUUGCUUUAAGAGCAAGUUUAAUAGUAUAGCCAACUACUAGCUCCAAUUCAUCUAUAGCCAAUCUAAUAGCUCAUUCAUACAAUAGUCACAUACUACACAAUUAAUAUCUGGUCCCAUCUGUCAUACACACAUUACGUCUUAGAGUCCGUGCUACAGCUGGCUACAAAUCUAGAGCCCCGCUACCCUUACCUCUCCUCAUUUAUCUUCUUAAAAUAUAUUUACAGCUGGCUUAUAGCGUGCUAUUGUACAUGCUCUAAGGACUCCUUAAUCAAUCGUCGUCGUAUUGAAGAAAGAGCAAUUAAUGGCCCCGUAAAACCAAGCCAGCAAUUUGAUCAGCAAUUCUACACAAAGCAAUUCAGCAAAGAAGCUACUACUACUACAGAUGAGCUUACACCUGUACCAGUAAAUUACAGUGCAUAAUAAUGUUGGAUUUCAGGCGGUAGCUGUGCUCUGUGGAGUAGAGUACCUCGCAGCAUGAUCUGGAUGAUGUUAUUAGGGCAGGAGAGAGAGUUGUGCCGACUUUAGUUCAUCGGAUUUGUUUUCUUUUAUAUGGCUCAACAUCUCCAAUGCAGUCGCAGAGUCCAGAGGAAAACGGCGGUAUAGAAGAAAACUGGAGUAUUCUAUUUAGCACACAGAUUACUGCUCUCUUCCCUUGAAAGGCCACAUGCUGAUUUGUUUCUCAUACUCCUUCCGUUUUGAAAUGUUUGACACAAUUAACUUUUUAGCACAUGUUUGACCGUUCGUCUUAUUCAAAAAUUUUUGUGAAAUAUGUUUGAUUGAGAAAAUCCCUUAUAUACCCCUGAAAUUUUUCCUAAUCCCUUCUAUACCCCUGAAUUUUGCUUACUUCCUUAUAUACCCCCAAAAUUUGAUUUUGAUCCCUUGCAUACCCCUCCCGUCAGUUGACCGUUAGUUGACCGUGUAUUUUCUAUAAAAAUGACCAUUUUACCCUUGGAUGAACAAAGAAAUUCAUGAAUUACAUUAUUAAAAAUAUAAAAGCUUCUCGCAUGAGACUAUUAUAGUUAUGAGUUUGUUGUGCGAUGCAUUAUUUAUCCCAAAAAAUAUUUUUAGAUAAUGAAAUAAAAAAAAUACGUAUUAAUUUUUUAAAAAAAAGGUCAUAAAAAUGAGGAGCAUUCAUAUAAAGAUAGGUAUACCAAUGUUCACAACAUUUUUUUUUAUGAAUGCUCCUGAUAAAAAAAUCCAUUGUCCUAUUAAAAUUUCAAAUAAAAAUUUUAUUUUUUUUACAUUUAUUUUAUUUUCAAAAUUUAUGUCAAAAUUUUCUGCACUAAUUAUUUAGUCUCAUUAGUUUUAUAAAAUGCACACGAUGUGCACUCAAACAAAAUUUUCAAUUAUUUUUGAAGCUUAUAUUUAAACCUAAAGCAUCAAGGGCAAAAAAGACAUUUGCAACCAAACGUAACAGUAAAAUGAUGGAAAAUGUAACGGUAGGGGCAUGGAAGGGAUCAAAUUGAAAUUUCAGGGGUACAGAAGGGAUCGGGUAAAUUUUAGGGGUAUGAAAGGGAUUGAGUGAGUUUUCAGGGGUACACAGGGAAUUUACUCAAAAUUAUAUGCUUACAUAAAAAUAUAUUUAACAAUGAAUCAAAUGAUAGAAAAAAAUUAAUAAUUACUUAAAUUUUUUAAAUAAGACAAAUGGUCAAACAUAUUCUUAAAAAGUCAAAGUCAAAUAUUUCGAAACGGAGGGAGUACGUAGAUACCCAUGAAAACAUCAGACAUGGCUGUUCUGGUCAGAGUAGCACAACAGUGCCAAUUGCAAUUGCCAUCAUUCUUUACUGUCAAAUACCUAAACUGCAGCUAAAGCCGGCCCCGUUGAAUUGUCAGAUGAAAAAUUGUGCGUACCCUUAUUUUCUCUGGUAGAGAACAACCGAGUAAGAAAAUACUCCCUCCGUAAAAAAAAAGACACCCUGGUUUCCGUGCCCAAUAUUUAACCGUUCGUUUUAUUUAAAAAAAUUAUAAAAAAAAUUAAAAAGACAAGUCACGUAUAAAAUAUUAAUUAUGUUUUAUCAUCUAACAACAAUGAAAAUACGAAUUAUAAAAAAAUUUCAUAUAAGACGGACUAUUAAAGUUGGAUACGGAAACCCAGGGUUUGUCUUUUUUUGAGACGGAGGGAGUAUAUCACAUGAUAAAUAUGCUGCAAAUAAAAUACUAGUAGUACGUUUUUAAGGGAAAAUAUACUGCGUAUUUCCUGAACACCACAUACUGCAACUACUACUACUUUCUUUUAUUUAUAGCUACUUAUAUUAUUCCAAUUCCGAACAGUGAUACCCAUUAGGAGCAUAGCGAAAUCACCUGAUAUUCCAAAUUUCCCAGAGUCAGUACUACGUGGCAAAUUUUUAAAACACAAAUGAAUAAUUGAUUUUUUGUAUUUCAGAGAAUAACACAGGAGGUUCCAAAAAUUGUAGAGGGAUUGAGAUAGAUGAUGACAGAGAGGGUCGGACAAUAAAUCUGAUGCAGAUGGAUGGAAUCAACUCAAGACUGAGGGAGGCCAAUUUGAGCUUCCAUUUCGCAUCUCUCUCAGCCUCACCGUCGUCGCCUCCCUUAAUCUCUCAUGCUUAUGCUCAUGGCAGCCGACGUCUCCAUCCCCACGCCGCCUCUCUGCUCUCUGCUCUCCCUCCACACCUACUGAUUCUUCUUCCCCUUCCCUUCUCCGCUUUCCCUGCCUUGCAAAUCCGCCAAAGGUUCGCCCUUUUUCCUCUUCCACCGGUUGCGUUUUUUUUUUCUUUUUUUUUUGGGGGUGGAACGUCCCGCGAGUGUUGGGAUUGGGCCUUCCUCGUUGCCUCAUCUUGAUCUGAUAUGGUGAUAUUCUCUUAUUGGAACGGGUUAGGGCUCAUCUUAGUGUUCCUCUUGCGUGAUUCCGAGCUAAAGGUGCCGUCUUUCCUCCCAAACCACCACCAUUCAUUUAGUGUUCCGGUGGUGAUCCAGUGCAACAAAUUGGGUAGUAAUUUUGUUGGUUUUUGGAGAUUGCUCAAUUUUGGGGCAAAAUUUGAGAAGAGGAUGGUUAAGUUCUCGUCAGAGCCUCAUCAGGGGUAAAAAUAUCUUGCUCCUCCUGUGAGAGAGGAACUGUUUUAGCCUCUCUGUUUUGCUACUAUAGGAUUUUUCCUUGGCUGCGAUGCUACAAAGAUUGUUUUGGACCUGUGCAUGAUGAAAUGUUCCGUAUGUUUAUUUCGCUGGCUCAAUUUUGCAGGACUUUUAGCUGAUCGAUGAAUUGCUGUUCAAGUGAAGCGGUUUUAAGUUCCAAAGUGGCGCUUCUGAAUUCACUCUUCUGUACUAUAGUAUUGCCAAAGGAGAAUUGCUCUAAUAAGAUGAACUGUACAAAAGGAGGGGGAUUUCCCCUUUUGUUUUGCGCAGUCAUUUGUCUCAUGGCCCAACAGGGGGCUUGCAAUGUGGUGCUAAUAGCGAAUAACACUACCUUGUCAUUUGAUGAUGUCGAGGCAACUUUUAGUGAGUGCUACAACUUACCAAGUAUCCUUGCAUUUCACUACUGAUCAACAACCAAUGCAGGCACUGCAGAGUAAACGUUAAUUGUUUUUAUGUUACGUGCUGCCUCUAUAGGUUAUGAAUAUUUAUUUGGAUAUUGCACUAGUUUGUUUCCUAAACAAAUGCUGCUAAUCUUGUGUGACAAUUGAUGAAUGGGAUGAUUGCUUUUCUUGCAUCAUGCUAGUUGUACUGUAUGGGUCUUCUAGCUGUUGUACCUGUAUUAGCUUUUACUAAUUCUUCUCUAGCUAUUUGCAUGUUUCUUUACAUUUGUUAGUGGCUUAGUGCGCAGUGCUAUACUAGUGCCUGCAUCAUUCUAUUUGUGUUAUGGACAACUUAUUGGCAUAUCAAUCACUUGCAGCUCCAGAAGUGAAAGAUUCAGGUGUAAAUGGUGCAAUUUACGCUGUGGAACCUCUGGAUGCAUGUAGUCCAUUGAGAAAGAAAGCAGCCAAUGGUCCUGUUUCACCAUUUGCACUGGUCAUACGAGGUGGUUGCCAAUUUGACGAUAAAGUUAGAAAUGCACAGAAUGCCGGAUUUAAGGCUGUGAUAGUAUAUGAUGAUGAAGACAGUGGUGUCCUGGUUUCAAGUAAUUCUACUCGAAUCUACCCUAUGUCUCUUAUGGUCCUGAAAUCAAUUUUCUUAUGUCUAACGAUAUGUCACCCGUGAUUAUUACAUAUAAAAAAGUGUUUCUGUGCUUUGAUCUGAUCGUUUAUAAUGUAUCAUGAUACUUUCUUAGCUACAUGUUAGGGAUGGCUGAAAAAGAAUUUUCAUCAUGUCUAUGUCACAAGAUGUAAAUUGUAGGAAUAAUUAGCACCCUUUUAAAAAAACAAAAAGAAGAAGAAGCAAUAAUCAGCAUCCUUGUAUAAACUGGAUAUAUUACUUGCUCUGUGCAUAUAUAUGCAAUAGCCAUUUGAGUUUUGACUAGAAAUUGUUACAGUGGCUGGGAGCUCGUCCGGGAUCUACAUAUAUGCGGUAUUCCUCUCUAAGGCUUCAGGAGAGGUUUUGAAGAAAUAUUCAGGUCAAAGUGAUGUAGAGGUGUGGAUACUACCAGUAUAUGAAAACUCAGCUUGGUCUAUCAUGGCAAUUUCUUUCACAUCACUGCUUGCUAUGGCUGCUGUUCUAGCUACUUGUUUCUUUGUGAGGAGACACCAGAUAAGGCGGGACAGGGGAAGGAUUCCUGUAACCCGGGAAUUUCAUGGAAUGAGCAGUCAAUUGGUUAAAGCAAUGCCAAGUCUUAUUUUUACAAAAGUGCAAGAAGACAAUAGUACAUCAUCAUCUUGUGCCAUUUGCUUGGAAGACUACAGUUUUGGAGAAAAGCUAAGAGUGUUGCCUUGUCGUCACAGUAUGUUCCUCUCACAUUUAAAGAUCACAGUUAUUUUAGAAUAGCUUUGUCAGACUUGAUGAUUUGGGUUCUCACUGUCUUCAUGUUUUGUACAGCCAGAUUAAUCUGUUUCUAGCAGAUAUUGCCUUUUACAUAUUAGGAUUUAUGGAUACAAACGCAACUUAGCAUUACUAGGAUUAAUAGAAGUGCUGUUCUGGCGUGAUUGAUAAAAUCUUCCAUCAAGAUCAAUAUUGGUUUAUCUAUUUGUUUCCUUUGCUGCUUGAGAUGCCAACUCAAUUAAAUAUGUGCUCGCUGGAUUUCAUUUUAUUCCUGAUUCCAUAGCGGAGUAAAUCUUGGCAACAGUGCUUUAUCUCUGAAUUUUUAGUUGCGUUGGUGGAUGGUUCCACAGCAUUGCUUGUGACAAGAUGAUCAUUUAGUGAUUCCACAAUGUAAUUCAUAUGAAAUGAUUACUGCAUCCAUUUAAUGCAACUGCUUUAGAUAGUUGAGUAUUGCAUUUUAGUUGAUCCCUCUUCUAUGUGGUAUUAUUUUUGACAUGUGUCCUGAGACUUUGGUUGUUUCGCUUUUACAGAGUUCCAUGCGACUUGUGUGGACAUGUGGUUGACCUCGUGGAAGACAUUCUGCCCUGUGUGCAAGCGAGAUGCAAGUGCUGGAACCUCAAAACCCCCUGCAUCGGAGUCCACCCCUUUGCUUUCUUCUGUUAUUCAUCUGUCUGCUGAAUCAACAGCUUUGUCUUCUUUUCGGUCAACGGUGGCAGUAUCUCCCCCUAGGCCAAUAAGACGUCAUCCUUCAUCACAGUCCACAUCCCGCGCUUACUCCAUUUCCAGUGCCCCCCGCAAUUAUAACCUUCAAAGAUAUUACACUAACUCACCUUAUAUUAGUACGAGUAGAAGCAAUGUAGAUCUUGCAAAUAUGUCAUCACAAUGGUCUCACACUCCGCACCAAGCAUCCAUGCAUUCUCUAAGAAGUGGCCAUUUGUCUCUACCGAUCAACAUCAGGUAUACAAUACCACAUGUUUCUCGUUCUGACUAUGGAUCUGCCAGCCUGGGUUUAUCCCAUGAUUCCUGUUCUCACCAUGGAUCUCCGAGUUAUUAUCAUAGCUCUUUGGGCCAGCAACGUUCUUACCUGAUGCACCGCACCGAGUCAGGGCCAAGCCUGUCUACUAUGGUGCUCCAGUCGCCACAAUAGAGUCAGUAGCAGUACAAUGGCGAAUCAGGAGAAGUCUAUCAGCUGCGGUUUAACUCGAUCAUUACGUCAGGCCUAUGUACAGCAUUGUCUUGAUUCUGAUGGAAGCUUGUCUGCUGUGACAUCGGAUCAGUCGCUACCAAGAUGCUGAUUGAUCUUACGAAGUUCACUGUUUCAUGAGCAUUUGUGCAAGCCCCUGCUAGAUUUGUUCCUGGGAGAUGCAAAUAAAACAGAAAAAUCCUAUGCGACACAAAACUGGCAGGUUCAUGCAAAGUUAAUUCAUGGAACUAUUUCGUGCCAGCCACCAUUGUGAUUCAACAAGGUUACUUACAUUGUCUGUACGGAGGGGAAAUUGGUGAUCUUAAAUCGAAGAAAGACUUGCUGAGUUUUGCUGAAGAAGCAAAUAUCCAUCAGUCUACAAGGAAUGGUUUGACUUUGCGUAUUGUUUGAGGCUUGUAUUAUAGGUGAUGACUUUAGAGUUGGUGUAAUGGUGUGUUUCUUUUACAUUAGUUAUUUUGUCAUGCGUAUAAAUGUUACAGCUUAGCAAUAAUCUGUUAGUCGGUGAAUGUUUUGUAGCUCUCUAAUAUUUAUUCUUUUUUGCGAAACUUUCUAAUACUUAUUCUGAUCUUGGAUAUUUGUGCAAGUGUGUUUUUGUUGCUUCGUUCUUCCUUUCAAGAUCAACUGUACCUGAAAAUUCUAGAGCAUGUUUACGCUAUGUUAGCUGAUGGGAGAAUUCUAAACUUAACCCUAUGUUCACUGAAAUACAAGUUUAGACGUGGGACAGAUGUCUAAAACUGUUUCGUUUCUGACAUCAGAAAUGGGAGAGGUCACCUCUUAUAAUGCCAGUUUGGUGGAGGUUUUCCAUAAGAUUUCUGGAGGUCCUGAUGCUUGAAACGCUUCAUGCAAACUUUUGAUUCGUUGCUUGUUGUGCCUUUUUACUUAUUUAACUGAGAAUUUUCUUCUGGACUUAUUACCAGGUAUUUGAUUAUACUGUUUAAUUAAUGCCUUUGAAUCUUUUUUACAAGAGCGCAACGUGUACUUUUACGGCUACAAUUAUGACAGUACCAAUUACCGUCCGGGAGUUCCUGCAUUUGAAAUAAUGCAGGCCUUUUAGAGCAUAGAGAUAGAGGGAGAGCGGCGCUUAGAUAGGGGCAUGUUUGGUUUAUGGGAUUUAUCCGUAAGUUUCUUCAUUUCAGUCGCUAAGAAUCUAAACAGAGAUGAUUAAAAGGACUAAAAUGUAUAUUAAAACUAAAAUCUAUUAGUCCUUUAUAUGAGAAAAUUAGUAUUAUAUAUACAAUCGCACUAAAUCUAAACAGGGAUGAUUAAAAGGACUAAAAUGAGAAAAUUAGGGUUAUACAAUCGCAUUAAAUCUAAACAGGGAUGAUUAAAAAGACUAAAAUAUAUAUUAAAACUAAAAUCCAUUAGUCCUUUUUAUGAGAAAAUUAGGAUUAUACAAUCGCAAAAGAGUGGUUUUGCUGAAAUACCACCGCUUCAAAAUGAGUUAUUGAAAUGCCAUUCUAAACUGAGAGGUGUUUACCAAAAUACUAUUUUUAUUUUUUUUAUAGAAAUAUUUUCGCUCAAUAUUAUUUUAAUACCCCUGAGACGGCCCAACUAUCGUACUCUUUCACUCUCCCAGUAGAUCUGACACUUCUCUUUCCCCUCUUCCUCUCUCUCGGACGCCGUCGAGAGUAGUGGCCGAGAGGCGGACGGUGGCCGGUGGAACUUCUUGCUACCUUUUAGCUAAGUUUCUACUCUCUCCAUUCCAAAUUAACCAAUAAAACCAAUGCUAAUUUAAACAGCAUCAGAGAACAAGAAUAAUUUAAAUCGCAUUAAGACACGAUACACAUAUUUCUCCCACGAUACAUAUAUCUUAAAACACAUUAUCAAUUACACAUUAGUUGUAUCUUAAAACACCUUACCAAUUACACAUACUUACCAAUUACACAUUAGCAUAUAAGACCUUACCAAUUAAACAUUAGCAUACAAGCAUGCACACAUUUUUCAUGUUUUAUUAGUUAUACUUCUUUAUUAAUUAUACUCUGAUGAAAUUCGUUAUAUAAUGAACAAUAACAAUUUUAGUUUCCAAUUUCAGUUAUAUGUUGAUCAAUUUAAGAAAUUUUAUAUAAUUAUACGAUGAUUAAUUUAGAAAGAGGAAGAGAAGAGAAGGAGAGAGUAAUUAUAUAUCGACCGAGGCGAUGAUCAUGGAUUAUAUAGUUCUAUUUGAAAAAAAAAGGCUAGCUACUAGCUAGCAGCUUGUCGCAUAGUAGUACUAUGCAUUAUUCGUACUAGUAUUACAUACACACAUACGUAUACGGCCUGGCUUAAUUAGCAGGAGAGGAGAGGAGAGGAGACGGUUCUAGCACGCAUGUGCAUAUGCUUGAAGGCGGGGCAGGGCGCGAUUACGCUUGGCGGCCCACCACCUUGUGCUGCUGCUGAUGCGCGACGCGGCCGGCGUCGGAGAAGAGGUCCACGGGCUCCGACUCUGCGAUCUUCCUGCAGCCGGCCUCAUCUUCUUCCUCCUCCGGACAGACGCGGCGAGCCUGGUCGAAGAGAUCGACGGGCUGGGAGUCAGCGACCUUGCCGGCCUCGAGCGGGGUGCCGUUGAUGAAGCCAGUCCGUAGCAUCUCGUCGUCACCGUUCACCUUCGCCUGGGCCGUGCCGUGCCUCACCUCCUUCUUGCUCGUCGCCAUGUUAAUUACUCUCUCUCUCUCUCUCUCUUCGAUCGAUGUAUAUGAUCGAUCUCUCCUGAUGCGGCUGGCUGGAUAUAUAUAUAAUUAGUUAAGCGAUCGAUGAUCGCCUUUAAUUUGCUAUGAAGGAACAGAAUACACACACAUAUAUAUAUAGGGAAUUGAAGUGAUGAAAGCUGAUGCGAGGACACGCAGCAGCGACGUGGACGCUACCUGUUGAUUUACGCGCCUACGUACACUCUCUAGAACUCUCUGCAAUAAACUCAUCUCCAUGAUCCAUGACGACCAGCCUCCGCGUGUACUCCUGCACCGACCUCAAUCGCCAAAUACAGUCAGUCGGUGGACAGAAAAUGCAAAUAAGGACAGAGCUAGCAAGCCAAUUUUGUCUUUGAGUAUGGUUAAUUACCUCUUCAUUUCAUUUGAUAGCGAGUAAGGUUACCUCUAUAAUAUAAUAUAUAUAUAUAUAUAUAUAGUAUAAAAUAUACAUAUUGCAUAAGUCUAAAAUAUGCUAAAUUUUAGUAGAAAAUCCCAAUAUCAAAUUUAAUAAACUUUAUAAGACCAAUUCAUCCAAAAGAGGUUCAAGCACAAUAUGAUUUGAGACUAUACUAGCCAGUUGAAAAAAAAAAUACUGAAACAAAUUAAGACUGUGUUAAACAGUAAAACUCCGCCAUAUACCUACAGGCAACUAAAGAAAGUAAGGAAGAAGAAAACGGGCCUUGCCCUCGUCGCUGCUCAUCCACCAUCGCUCCCUGCAGUUCGCCACCAUCAUCGGAGCUUGUCCAUCCAGAUCCGUUGGACAGGAGCUCAAGGCUAUUUGGUCUGACACUUAUGAUCUCGCGUGUCAGAUCUAACUGUUUUGGUGGCUCAAGAAGGGGGGCAAUAGCUUGUCAGGAUGAUGGCAUCAUCAGCAGCGACGGCAAGGUCCGAAAUUUCCAACCGAAAUUUCCGUCAUUUCGGUCCCCUCCGAUACGAUAUUAAUUCGGCCGAAAUUUUUGAAUUUUUCAAUUUUUUCAUGAAUUUGGGUAAUAUUUGUUCAAAUUCAACUAAAUUUUGUUCAAAAUUUCUGAAAUUUCUGAAAUUUCGGUGACUCCCGAUCAAAAACCUUCAACCGAUAGAGUGAACCCUGGCGACGGCAAGGAGAGGAGGAUCCCAACACCAACGACAGCGGUGGAGAUGAUGGCGCCCCUUGAGCUUCUGGAUUUGACAUCCUCUUCGAGUCCUUCCUUCUUCCUGGGUAGCAAGACCUUACCACCCACUAGAGAUCUGACAACAACAAGCAUGCCGACGCUAGAGCUGGUGGCCAUGAAGUCGUGGCUACCUGCUACAGUCACUAAAGAAGAGAGGAUGGCCUCCAUCAUCAACGAGGGAAUCCAUUGAGUGGCAAUGACGAAAUAGGAAACCCUAAGCUUUCAAAUGGGAAGAGGGAGGUGACAGGAUGUGUAAGGUCUCAACCUGGACGUGGAGUGAAGAUCGAUUCGGGCCUAGUUAGGUGAUUUUGCAUCAGCAGAACCAUGCCUUGGCAACCAAGCAGCCGCUGUGUGCAUCCAUGGGUGCGAACCACCAUCCAUAUCGUGUGCUGCUGGGAAGGGUGACAAUGCGGAGGAGAAUGGAGAAGUGGUCAUGUGUCACGCCCCGAACUAGCUCCGAACGGAACCAGCCCGUGACGCUCCAAAUUAACCUGUUAACCGAUACCAGUCCCAGGAAAUAGUGCUGGUAUCACAGGAAGACAGAAUAUCGCAACAACAGAGGUCUCUUUAUUACAGAGUAGGAGUACAGUCAUGUUGGGCUACGGACAGAUCCCGAGCUCACAACUGCAUUACAAAAGAGGAAAGCGGAAGCCAAGACUUGGACCAAUCAUCACAGGCGCGACUUGGAAACUAGGCCGAAACCCUAAAACUCAUCGUAGCCGACUUGCUCCUGGAAGAACUCCUCGUCAGCGGGAUCCACUUCAUCUUCUUCGGCAACUGGGGGGAGGAUUAUUUAUAUAGAGCAAGGGUGAGUACAUGAGUACUCAGCAAACCAUGGGAAUUAAGUGUUUAAUGCUGGCUUCAAGGGAAAGGCUGUUGUUUUUGCAAUUGAUUUUAUUUAAACUCCUUUUCGAAACAGCUAAGUGAGUGCUUCUCAAACGACAUGGAUGAGACAGUGCAUCUCGUCCGGUCGGAGUAUGUGCAUUGUAUCAGUCUUUGAUUGAUUCAAGAUUGGCACCCGGCCACAACUUUCAAGCGGCCACCCGGGCCUAGCUGAUCCCAUCAGCCACAGGGUUUCCAAACAUCGAAUCCAAAUCCACAACAGCAAUUUCACAAAGCAGUAGUCAAACAAAACUACGCUAAGGAAUCACCUUACAUCCACCCAUGACCGUGGGCACGGCUGUUCGAACAGUUUAAUAACCUCUGCAGAGGGGGUACACUUUACCCACACGGCAUUACUAACCCGGAUCACCCAGCCCGUGGGGAUCAGCCACGUCGGGAGACCUCCAAGCUUUCAUGACAAGGCAUUUCCAAAGCCGACACAGAUUUACCAUAUGCCGACGAGAGGGGUCCCAGACCAACAACAGGUUAGGUCCCAGACCAUACUGUGCCAGGAAGCCCAGGGUCCUCCCCGACACCACCCCGGCGAAUCCACUUGUCUCUCGGCAUCAAGGCUCCCCUGAUUAGCUAAUUACUCAGCCAGGGGUGUCCCAUUCCACCCAUGUGGUCGUACUUGUUAUAUGUUCGGAUGAAAUUCCAAAGGAAUCGGUCCUUAAGUGCAAGAACAGGAAACCGUGCUCCCGGCACGUCCCCUGGUCUGCGAUUUUGGAAAUUCAUUUAGUUCGCAAGCACCGACCCAGGCGUCGGGUUUUUCCAAGUCUUUUGUAAAACCCAAGUUUUACCCAUACUUGGAUAUUUUAAAUUUGAGGAGAGGCGUUCCGAUGCGCUUGCCCGAAGGCCCGUGCAUCGAAGCACAACAGUCGACAAAGGGAGUUUAAGUGUUCAAUAAUUCAAGGAGGGUAAUUGCAGCAAUUAGGAUUGGGACCGGCAGGCUAUCUCGCAAGCCGCGGCCGAAUUGCUUGUGUAAAUCCUAUUCAUGCAAUAUUUGCGGAAAAGAAAUACUUAGAUUUAAAUUAUAGGUGCAAGAUGAUCAAAGGUGACUUGCCUUGCUCGAGAUCUUGAGCUUGAUUCUCGAAAUCCUCGCAUUGCGGGUCUUCGGGCUCCGAAACUACACGCGAAACGGGACAACUCAACAAACGGCGAAAAAUAAAGCCCUAUUAUUGACCUCUAAGCGUGCCAUUAGAUAGAUCUCGAGAUUUGAGGAAUUUUGGAAGUUGAACGGAGUCAAACGGUCAUACGGUUGAGAAGAUAUUGAAUUUCUAAGAUUAUUGGAUUUUUGAUCUAAAGGAAAAGGAUUUAGUUAAACCCUUUUGAAAAAGAAAAAGAAAGAGGGAGGAGAAAUAGACUUCCCUCAGGCGGCUAGGGCGCGGCCCGAGAGAAAAGGCCGCGGCUCGGCCGAGCUUAAUGGGCCUGCCGGCCCGAGAAGGCGGCCCAAGGCACGCGCGAGAGGGGAGGAGAGAGAGGGAGACGGUGGGCCAGGUCCUUCUCGCGUGGUCCCGAGUGGGACCCGCUUGUCGGUGGCUUGGCUCACCGUGCGGAGGGAGCACGCGGCGUGCGCUAGGGUAUGGGGAGAGAGACGCGGUGCACGCGCGCGGUUCGCGGAGGACGCGGAUGCGACGGGCCCACGCGCAGCCUCACGGCUCGCGGUGGACCGCGCGCGCGAGCGGGGCUGGAGGGAGCGGCUAACCAGGGUCGGCUCGACCCGGUCUUGGCCGAGCUGGCGCCGAUGUGGCACCUACGUGGCUGCCACGCGGGCCGGCGGGAGGUAGACAACGACGUCGGCCGGAACGGACGGCGGACGGCGGCUGCGAACGGCGGGGCGAACCACGGCGAUACAGGCGAAAGCGAGCACACCGGGUGGUUGCAUGAGACGAGGGGAGACGAGCCAACGGCUCGGAUUCGCCGGAGGGAGUUCGACGGCGGCGGAUUGCGGCGGCGGCAUCCGGCGGCGAGAGAAGAGGGAAACGGCGACGGCGCGACGGGAGAUCAAUUCGGGCGAGCUAGAGCAUCAACGCGACUCCGGGAAUCCAUUCCUUGCGCCGGAUUAGGAGGGAACGCACCGAGGGAGGCCGGCGACGAGAGGCGCUACCGAGCUCGGGCGGUGACGGCGGCGAGCACACAGUGGGCAGCGGCAAGGCUUGGGGCGGCGCCAGCUAGCUACGGGGAGGCUACACAAGCUUCUAUCGAAAGCUAAGGGGAAGAGGGGGAACGAAGAGGGAGAACGGGGAGAUGCACUACCAUGCGGGACGAGGCGCAGUGACGAUGGGCCGAUGGCACGGGAGUGAUCUCUCCGGCCUCAGGCUGGGGAAGCGGAGGAAGACGAUGCGCCCGAAGUCCCCUUCACGCGUCCUUCGCACGCACCGGCUCUCCCGGUGCUUGGCGAUGAACGGCGGAGGCGAGACAGAGGGGCGGCAAUGGCGCGGUGGUGGCGAGCGAAACGGGAGGAGGAAUCGAUGGGAGGGUGCCUUGGUUAAAUAGGAGGCGAUGUCGGUUUGGGAACCGACCUAGGGCGGUCAAGGGAGAGAGCUAGAGCUCGGCGGUCGCGGCCAAAACGGCGUCGGGGAGGGGGGUGACGCCGGCGGAAGAGAAGAGGGAAAAAGGAGGAGAGAAAGGGGGGCUUGCCCUUUGCCACUUUGGGAAAAGGCGGAGGGAGAAAGGGCGACGCGGCAGAGGGAGGAGGAGCUCUGCCUCCAUCCCUUGGAAGCUAGCGCGCGGAGUGGCGGGGCCGGGUCGUGACAACGGCGAUGACGGCGGGGGCGGUUUGGAACGGAGCGGUGACACGGGCGGCAGGCCCGGGCUCAGGCGCGGCAGAGGGCUGACUGCGGCGGCGACUGGCCGGUUGGCCACCACGGCGCGCGCGCGCGGGAAGCAACGGGCGGCGCGGCGAUUUGGGCGGCGUCGGCGGGAACGGCAGCGAGAGCGGAGAGGGAGGGAGAGGCGCUCGGCGCGGCUCUCGCGCACGUGCACGCGCGUGCGCGUGCGGCGCACGGGCAGAGUGAGGGAGGGGAGAGAGAGAGAGAGAGAGAAAGAUGGGCCGAGAGGGAAUCGGCCCACCGGACCUAAGGGAGGCAAAAUAGACUUUUCGAGAAGGAUUGAUAUUAGGGAUUUGAAUUUGACGAUGGAUUGGGGAUUUGAGAUUUGGAAUUGGCACGGAGACUGACAACAAGCAAAGAAACAAUUUUCGCAAUUAGGGUUUUUAGAAUUUAAAUUUUCCCGCUAGGCGCCACGAUGGAACGGGCGCUACAUCAUGGCUUCGAUCGGCCGCUAUCGAUAGCUAGUUGAGCUUAGCUUGUAUAAUCAUCAGCGGAUAACAGUGAUCAGCCCUCAAGACACAGUGAUUUACGUGGAAAAAUCCCCUCGGUGUGAGGAGUAAAAAACCACGGGACCAACGGUCCACUCCAAGCUUCCACUAUAAUCCAGUACAAAUGGAGUCUUCUCUAGAACAUCUAGAGGCACAUCACAACAACAGCUACAACAUCAAGUUACGCAAUUGGCAUCAUCCAUCAACCAUCAAAACUAACAAGAGGCAUAUCAGCAAACAAGCAAAGAAAUGAUAGAUCCUGUCAUCUUCGUUUCUCAGCUGAGAUCUCCCAAGCCACAUAUGCAAAUUGCACGAAACAUGGCUGAAAUGAUGAUCUAUGAGUCCUUUCCAACCUUUCCAAAAAACACCUAAUCGGAUACCGUUUGACCUCUCAAACUGACACUUUACUAACUACUGCAUAAUCUGUAACUGCAGUAACUCGAGUUGACAAACCACCACUCAAAUCCGGCGCUCUACUCAACCAAUCCUCAUACAAACUAACCAGACUAAAGUGCUUAAAGUGAGAAACAAACUCAUCAAGUUUAGUGCCAAUCCAACCACGUUUGAGCCUCCAAUGAAUGACUUGAUGAAGAUCGGGUAAGAAUGCAGGCUAGGGUUUUUCUUCCCAUCAUAAAGAGAUAAGGCAAUAUCCACCAUUGAUCAACAUAUGAAUUAAUGGCUCAUAUUUGUUGGACUUUUUCGGCUGCAAUAAGCUGAUAGUAAAGGCUUCAUAUGGAGAGAAAUUUGGCCCAACCGUCAGCGGAAAUGCUAAUGGGCGAUCGAUCUCCUGGAGAUGGGGGCAGCGAUCGAUCCCCUCCCCCUCCCUCCCUUCACCUGUUUUCCCUUUUUGGCACCGCAUUACUUUCCUAUUUUAGUAAAUUUAUGCACCUAAAAUUUAUACACAUCAAGUUUACACAUCUAAAGUUUAGAGACCCAAUAUCUAAAGUUUAGAGACCCAAAGUUUAUAAGUCAAAAGUUUAUAUAUCCGAUUCAAGUUUGAAUUUGAAUUCAAAUAUUUUUUAUAUAUAGUAUUUCUAUACACCUAAAGUUUAUAGACCCAAAGUUUAUAAGUCAAAAGUUUACAUAGCCGUUUCAAAUUUGAAUUUGAAUUAUAUCUAAUUCAAAUUUGAAUUUGAAUUCAAAUAUUUUCUAUAUAUAGUAUUUUUAUGCAUCUAAAGUUUAUACACCUAAAGUUUAUAGACCCAAAGUUUAUAAGUUAAAAGUUUACAUUCCCGUUUCAAAUUUGAAUUUGAAUUAUAUCUGAUUUAAAUUUGAAUUUGAAUUCAAAUAUUUUCCAUAUAUAGUAUUUAUAUACAUCUAAAGUUUAUAUAUCUAAAGUUUAUAGACUCAAAGUUUAUAAGUCAAAAGUUUACAUACCCGAUUCAAAUUUGAAUUUAAAUUCAAACUUUUUAUAUAUAUAGUAUUUCUAUACAUAAAUUUUUCUAACUUUUGUUUUUUUUAAAAAAAUUUUUGUGGUGUAGUGUAGUAGGAAAAGAAGAAGGGGGAGAAAAAAGGGGGAGAAGUGAGAGGAAGUAUUACCUAUAGGGGGAGGGGGGGCCGGAUCUAAUCGCUUGGGUGAUCGAUCGCCCAUUAGGACCCUUCGAACCGUCAGCUCUUCGGUUAGGUACACGAGACAACGCAGCAGAAAGAAAUUAAGGGAUGGAUAUAGAAACGUCCACGUGGCCGCAGGAGAUUGGGCGUCUUAUCCAAGCUCUGGGCUACCAGGAUCACACAAUAAUACGUACAUCUCUGAGUCUUCUCUUUUUUCAUUAUACAAAGUACCUACAAAGUAUGAUCCGUAUUAAUUUCAUACCAAGUAACUUUAAUAUCUGGCGCUUCUGCUCCCUUAGCUUCUUUGUGUGGAUAGAUAUAUGACCGUUUUAGCGAUUUUAAUGGGAUUAAUUUUGACCUCGAUCGGCAUAUAUACAUCCAUUCAUACACGAACAGUUAAUUCAGUACGAAACACAUGGAGUAGACACAAGAGUAGAACUAGGAUAUAUAGCUUAUUAAUUAACUGUUCUUUCAAAUACAUGGAGUACGUAUUUGACAGUAGUAUAUAUGACACAGUAAUGCAUGCAUAUAUGACACCAAAAUGUGAUAUGGAUAUGAUUAAGCAGGUGCAGCAAAACGUACAUUAAUUAAACAACAACAAUUAACCCUCGGGCACGCCUGUGUUUUGUUAUCUCGCUCAACAUAUACGUACGUAAUACUUUGCUUGCAUAGCAUAGGGACGACGACAUUAUAUUCUUAAUUGAUAAACUCAAGAACGCAUGGAGAUGGAUCGAGAGAUUUAUAAAUAUGGAGCUUGCUUGAUUGAUUAGAUGAGGUCGUCCUCCUUGUGGGUCUCGAUGACGACGUCGGACUUGGGGUAGGCGUGGCAGGUGAGGACCCAGCCGGCGGCAACCUGGUCGUCGUCGAGGAAGCUCUGGUCGGACUGGUCGAUCUCGCCGGAGACCACCUUGCCGGCGCAGGAGGAGCAGGAGCCCGCGCGGCAGGAGUAAGGCAGGUCGAUCCCUUCCUCCUCCGCCUGGUCCAGGAUGUACACGUCGUCCGGCACCUGCAGCUCCACCUCGCCGUCCGGUGUGAUCAGCUUCACGUUGUACGUCGCCUGCAUCCGCAGCCUGUCUCCCAGCUUGUUGCUCGCCGGCAGCACCGACACGCGCGCCGGCGCCGGCGCCGUCGCCACCCGCAGGGACAUCGGCAACCGGACCUGGCUGCUCAGUGCCGUCGCCGCCAUGGCUGCUAUAGCUAAUUAAGCUAGCUAGCUGCUGCUGCUAGGUAAGGUAGACGAGGAGGAGAGGAGUGAGCUAGCAAGAAUGUGAGCGUGAGGUUGAAGGAGGCUGAGGCAAUAAGAAGGGAGGUGGAGGGUGCCACGUGGCGAGCGGCGACUGGUUGGCUUAUCUGCGGGGGAGUGGAUGGGGCAACGACCACCACACGAUGCACAUCGCCGAUGCUGUCCGGCCGUCUUGCGUGUGGUCGCCUCGCUUUUCUUUUUUGUUUUCUUCUUCACACCUUAACUUCUUUUGAGCUUUUUUUUUUAAAAAAAAUAAUUUGUGAGCCAAUCACAUGUACCUCCAGGAUUCAGAUCUGGUAUCUCUUUUUCCCAUGGCCGUCCAUUGAUUUUGUUUUUCACGAGAAAAAUAAUUGAACAAGAUGUAUGUGUGGUCACACACAUUUUCUUUAAUUUCUUUUGCUAUGUAUAUAUGUUGUCCACACAUACGUUGAAUCACAAUUGUUAGAUUGGGAUUUGAUGGUCACGAGUCUUGCACAAGAUAGAGUGCGAUGUGCAGCCUCUAAUAAUUUUGAACUGCUGCAUGUGCCUUCUUCCUUCCUGUUCCUGGCUAGGAACUUUCUCCAAACUAACCUAACCUCUCUGUUUUUCUUCUCUCUUUUUUGAGGGCCAGGCCAAAACUUUUGCUUUGUACGAUCACAUGCACGCUUAUAUGAUAUUCCAUGUAAAUGGGCCGGCCCAAUCCGCAUAGCCGUACCCGAUUCCAAGAUACGGCCCAUAGAACACUGGAUGCGAUGACCAGCCCAUCUUGUCUCUUAUUGGGCUUGUUUGUUGACAGGAACAUCCAUCUCAUCUACUUCUAGGACACGAUGGAACCUGCAGCAGGCAGCAGGUACAUACAGGAGUGAUUGAGUAUAAAAAUAUGAGUGGAUGUAUAACAAGAGAGUAGUUCAUGUGCUGAUCGAAUUCGAUCGAUCCAACUCUAUAUGCAUGCAGGAAUAUAUACGCAUGAUCGAUGAUUGUACAUGAUAUUUUCAACUCUUUAAGUUCUACUCUAUAUAUAUAUAUUGCUACUGGCCGGCCGGCCACGUGUUGGUUACGUGGUCCUUUUGAUCCUCACACGACACUAUCAGUGAACAAACACGUUGUACACACACAUAUAUACGUGUAUGUGUAAGCGGAACAAUAAUUGAUUGAUCAAUUAGUAGAUCGAGAUAACUGGAGUAGUAUCAACUGCUGCACAUAUAUGCAUGUCAAGCAUCCAUCACAUGUUCACAUAUAUAUACCCCGAUAUGAAUAUUGAUCAUCCGCAUGCAAUCGAAUCGCCCUUCAUGUGGUAGGACUAAAAGACAAUUUUACCUCAUUCAAUUUUAUAUUACAUUCUAUUUAAGUCAAACAACAAACCAAUUUAAAUAUUUUGAAUCAUUUAUACUGAUAGUAUAUGUGUGUGUAACUAGUACAUUGUAUCGUAACAAAAGAAAAACUCUCCACAGCUAGCUGACUCACAUGCAUGCCUUGGCCCUAGCUUGUUGGGACGUAAUACAUAUCCGUGCAUUAUUAGCAAAUUAAUAGCAAUUGAUUAAGAAAAUGACUAGCUACACAGAUUCCCUAGGGAGGAAAAAAACACACAUAUCUAACAAUUAAUAGACAGAUUGAUAUAUGGAGUGAGAGAAAAAAAAAGAUUUACAACCGAAAAGAAAGAAAACAUCGGGAAAGCACCACUGGUAUUGACGUAUAGUAAUGUGAUGAUAAAGUCGUGGAUGCAUAUCUUUAGCAAAUAUGUCCAUGAAUACUUAGCAAAUAUGCAAGUGAAGCUUGUACCAUGAUUUGAGUGAGAUCAGAUCGAGAUGUGCUAUUGGUUUCUGUCUUUUUAGUACAUGUUAGGGGAUGCAUUCUCGGGUGUACGAGUGUGGUGUUGCAUGUAUGGUGGUGUAUGUACGUUUAUUGCACAAUUGAAAAAAAAAAGAAAAAUCAAACAUGGAUUAUAUUUCAUUAGUGAAAUUAAAUUGUAGCUGGGUGUGUUUAGUUCACGCUAAAAUUAUAAGUUUAAUUGAAAUUGUAAUGAUGUGACUGAAAAGUUGAAAGUUUAUGUAUGUAGAAAAGUUUUGAUGUGAUAAAAAAGUUAAAAUUUUGAAGAAAAAAUUAGGAACUAAACCAGGCCUAGGUACGGUCGCGUGAAGAUUGCUCGGAUCCGAUCGACAUCCAAACGUACCGACACGGUCAAACCAGGGAUGCGCGAAUGUUUCCUAUCUAUAGUUUGACCAGCAUGCAUGUUCUAAUGUUUUCUAUUCUUCCGGUAGCCACUACUGUUCUAUUUUCCUAUUUCAUUAAUCAAUAUACUAAUAAUGACUAAGCAUAUGCUUCCCACCCGGCCCUAUCCAAAUUCCAAUCUCAACCAAUAAUUAAGCAAUUAACCAAUGAGCUAUAUAUGAGAUUUUUUUAUUGUACUAGCCAAACUGAUUAAUUUUAAUUGUUGCUUUUAAUCAUUUCACUUUGCUUGUAAGCAAUUCAUCGAUCAGUUCGUGCUUUGCCUGCGGCCUACCCUUUUUGUUGCCCGGCACUACUCCCAGGAUAUAUACGGAGUAUAUGCCAACACGUACCAUGCACGUUUCUUCGUUUUGUAUUCUCUCUCUUCGCGUGUGUGAUCCAGUUGCCUUCUUUUAUCCGACAAGAUUAAUCUUCAUCACUUUUAAAGAAGAAACCACGUUUAAAAUUGCUGAUUUUUUUUGUUGAAAAUUCUCUCUGUGUCUCUAGUAUUUCAAGUGCUGAUCUCGUGGUUUUUUUACUCCCCUUUGUCACAAAACAUGCAUGUACUCUGAAUGCCGCAUCUAUAUUGUUUGAAAAUAUAACAUUGACUACUACUACCUCCGAGGACAAAGGGAGUAAUUUGUACCUAAUUAAAAGCAAAACAUUUUAAAACCAACAAUAUUAUAAUACUAUCAAAGUAUUUUUCAUGACAUAUUUACCACAUGCAACUUUCUAAUAUUGGAAAAAUAAACAUGUUUAGAGUUUUUAGAGUUUAACUUGAGACAUCAAUUAUGAUAAAUUUAUAUUACACGGGGUAUAUAUAAGACUACCCACCUACAACAUAUGCGAAAUAUGUAACUUUUUUUUAAUAAUGGAUAUAUAAAGUUGGUCAUUGUUUCAACUGAAGCUACAACCACCUAUUACAAAGUUUUAGUUCGAAGGCCAAGCACGGUACAAUAAAACCAUGAUAGAUGAAAAGACUGGUACAACAACACCAACCAAAGAAAAUAAGCAACUUAUUUAAAGUUUAAGUUUAUUCCUUAAUCUCCAUUUAAAGGUAAUGAAGAUAUGUAUGAUGAUUGAUCCUAAAUUUCGACCGCAGCAAUGCGAAAUAGCUAGCUUGUUUUGACAGGGAUUUGUAUAUAUGCUAUGCAUCUUCUGGAUUCCUAGUUGCCAUCGUUUGUCAUGACAAUGAUAUAUUGCGCUAGCUUGAAGAAAUGGUAGUUGGACAAAUAAUUAUCUCAUUUUAUAUGGUAUAAGGGUGAAACUAGGUAUUCGAUCAUUGGCAUAUACUAGCUAAUUGCUCAUGUGUUACAACAAGAUUUCACAAAGAGUCCUCAUGAUAAUUUCGAUCUUAGACCAUUUCCUAUUAUCUAUAUCUAUAUCUAUACCUAAUUAAAAAAUACGUAAGGCUUCGCCCUCCCCUUCGUCCAUCCGCCCCACCCCUUCCUCCCGCGCCGCCUCCUCUUUCCCUCCCUCCCGGCGCCCCCAUCUCUCCCCCUCCCCUGCAGCCCCUCUUCUCUCUAGCGCCCCUUCUCUCCCACCUCCCUCCUUGACUCCUUCCCUCCCGGCACCCCCCUUCCCCCCAUCUCUCCCUCGCUGCACACUCCCCCUUCCCCCUCGAUAUCUCUUCUCCUUGGCGCCCCUCCUCUCUCCUGUGCCUGUGUUCCCUCCCUCUUGUGCAUUCAAGAAAAACAGAACCUCCUUGUUCGGGAACACGUUUUGACGUACUCACUCGGCCGUGUUCAGCACAAGAGCUCACCAUUGUCGUUUCUCUCUGUCGGGACCAUGUUGUUGUCGGCCGCGUUUCCAUUAUUCUUGUUUUCUUCGUAGCCAACCGCCACCAUCAAUGGAUGAGUCAUAAUGUGGAACACGUCCGGCCACCUUACUUACCGCCGUUGGUCGCUGGAGCACUGUCGCCCAUCUUCUCUCAUCUUUUGUUUCUUGUGUUGGCUAGGGAAGACGACGAAUAGUAUUAGUCGUUUUUUCCUAUGUGUUUAAGGAAAAAAGAAUCCUCUCGUCCGGGAACGUGUUUUGACACGCCUGCAUCCAGUCGUGUUCACCACUAAAGCUCGUCGUUGUCGUUUCUCUUUCUAUCGGGACCACAUACACGUCCUACCACUUUCCUCACCAUCGUUUGGUCACUGGAGCACUGGCGCCCAUCUUCCCUCCUCUUUUAUUUCUCGCCUUGAGUUAGGGAAGACAAUGAACAAUGUCUGUUGGGCAUUAUUCCUUCUUAGUCUAGCCCAACCAUGCUACUGAACCACUCACAUAAUAUUAAGACCAUAUGAGAAUGAAUAGAACAUGAAAAAUUCUAAUUUAUAUCAAUUAAACAAGCGAAAGGAACACCAUAGAAGAUCCAAUAUUGAAGACAAUAUCGAUGCACGUUAUUUGUUAAUAAGGUUCAGCCGAAGCCUACAUCCCCAGAGCAGUGGUCCUCCCCAAUCAAGCAUAUUACAACGUAUCCGAAUUACAAUUAAUGAUUCUCGGCCAGACGCCGCCGACAGCCGAUACCUCUCACCUAUGCUAAGUCAUCAUUGUCGUCAUCAUGUUUGGAUCUCAUAUGACGUUUCUUUCGCGUUUGGUUUCCGAUGUAUUAUCGGGGUCGGUUUUAUAACAAAAUCAUUUCUCAUUAUUUAUUAAAAAACAUCACACUUGCAUCAGUUAUAUUUUUCAGUGGUUAGCUUGACAUAUAUACAGUCCAUCAAUCCUAUUGUUUGGGGUCCACGUGGCAGUGGUAGUGGGUGUCUGGUGGAACCGUGACUAGCAGAACCACCACAUCACUACCAUACUAGUGUUUGGGAAAGAGGGACUUCAGUCCCUCUCAUAAAAGUACAAGUCCCUACUAGUAUGUAUGGUGUUGUUUGGGAAUGAGGGACACCACCAAAGUAAUAUAGAUAUUAGUGCGAUUUCUGAUAAAUAUUUCAUGUUUUCAAAUAUGCUAGCUCAACGUAAAUUAUGACAUUAUAUUACAGAAUAUGGAAUCAUGCAUGUAGCUAUAAUACCAACGAGCUUAAUUAUCUAGACAGGAUAAGGUUGACGAAAAGGAUAUUGUUAUUAUUUAUUUUGUUCUCUAUAUAUGAACUGGAUAUUAAGUCCAGCAUGUGUGGUUCAGUUAAGUCAUCGAUCAUGUUAGGACUUAGGAGUUAGGAACAACAAUACACACUCCGUAAAGUCUUGUCGAUUGGUUGCUUGAAAUAAGCGUUCUUCAGACAUACGUUAAUUAUAACGAUUAAUGGAUCGAUGGCAACUACAGAUAGAAGUCUUUUUUAUCUUUAUCUUUAUAAGUUGGUAUUUUGAGUAGUUUUAUUGUUUUUUAAUUAAACCUUGUUUUUAGUUCAUAGUUGUUUCUAUAGUACCAUUUUGUAGCAAAGACCGAAAUAUUUUUUAUCAUCUUAAAAAGAAAUAAUCGAUGACGAAUAAAUGCUGUGCGUAGGAAUGAGAUCAUCUGACACGAACCAUACUAAAGUGUGAUCCAUAUGUCACUUUUUUUUCGCGAACGCGUAAAAAGAUUGCACGUCAAUAUGAUCCAUAUGUCAGUGACUGAACUACGUGUCUUUACCUAUUAUAAAAGUUUAAGGUGUUUUUGCCAGAAUUUUGGUACGUCAUCUGUCUUUGAAACGGUUUUAGUUUUAUGUUUCGGUUUUAAUCUAUAUGUCUACUACAAUAAAUUCUUCUUAAAAAAAAGUAAAAGAAGUCCGACUAAAAAAAGGUAAAUAAAGGAAGAAAAAAAGUCCGACUUAACGAGUGAUUAAAAAAAAAGUUCCGUCGUCACUUAAAGAGCGAUUAAAAAAAAAGCUUCCGUCGUCGUCAGUAAAAAAAAAAAAAUCUCUUGUCCGACUAUGUAGAAAAAGGAAAAAAAUCUUCCAGUAAAAAAAAGUCCGUUUGGUUUUUUUUGGCACCGAUAUUUUUUUCCCUUUUUUCUUUGCACGCAAAAGAGUUUUUUAUGCGCACACGCUAAAGCUUUUGGUUUUUUCUUUUUUUUAAUCCGAUCUAUUCACCGCGCACCUCUCGGGUGCUUUUAGUUUUUUCGUCAAUGUUUUUUGUCACCUGUUUUUUUCUCCCGUAUGCUUUUUGUUUUUCUCUUCCGGUUUUAUAAUCCCAUCUGUUUACCGCACGCCUCCCGAGGUGAACCCUAGCGCCGCGCCGCUGCCAUACCGAUUUGUGUAUUUUCUCCUCCAAUUUAAUUGCAAAAAUGGAUUCCCCACUCCUCUUAUCAUUUUCUCCAUGAUUUUCCCUUCGAUUCGGCUUUAAUUGCCAGUUUUAAUCUCUGUUCUAUAGUUGCCGAUGAUGACGGCGAUCUUCCUCGGUUAUUUUUAUCCCGAGUUUUAUGCUCUGAUUUUGGGGAAAACGGAAAGAGUAGAUCGAGUGGAUUAAAAACCCUCGACCAAUUUUGGUUUACCAAGAAAGAUUCGGCCGGAUUUGAUGGGGAGAUUUGCUCUAGCAAACGUAUGGGCACGGGAUUAUCUUCGGGAGGUUGAAGAUGUAGUCAUAUUCGGGAAGUUGAAGAUGGUAGGGUCGAAGAGAAGCAGACCAAAUGGAGGGAGGUAGCGGACUAGCCUAGGGCUGAAAAGGAAGGAAGGCUUUCGGUCAAAACCCAGAAAAUAUUUUCAUUAACUUUUUUUAAUUAUAAUCUAUAGCGAUUCCAAUAUUAAGAUUUUUAUUAACUUUUUCAAUUAUAAUGUAUAGUGAUCCCAAUAUUUUAAUUUAUUACUUAGCUCUCAAUAUAUUACUGAAAAAUGUUUACCCGUUGUAACGUACGGACAUCUUUUCUAGUAUAUAAUUAGGUGAGAGGAUCUACUUCCGCACGCAUACAACGAAGGGAGAUUAAUUUUUCAUAUUCGGCAAUACGUACAUGCUCUUUUAAAAUUAAUUAUGUGCUUAUUAAUUAAUUUUUUUUGCCGCGGGGUUUCUUUCAUAUACAUGAUGUGAGCCUAUACAUCAUGCUUAUUAAUUACUAAUAACAUUGUUUAAGUAGUUAAUUGUUCUUUAGAAGAAGUUGAAGGUGCGUGGCUCGUGACAUAAUCACAAGCUUAACGCAAAGCAUCAUAUAUAUCUUCAACGUUCUUUAAACGUUUCUUGUGGUGGGGGUGGUGAGGCAAAUAGACCCCACAUAACUACUCCGUAGUACAUACAACAUACAUAUAUGUAUGUAGGAAUAGGAUGGUAUGAGCAUAUAUAGGAUUUGAUUAACAAAAGACCGAGAGCUAGCACAUAUAGCAGGGAUGGUAACUAAAGAUUUGUUGUACUAAUUUUUUUUUGGCAGUAAGUUUUUUUUUUUAAAAAAGAAAGUAGUAGCAUAAAAACGAUUCGAACUACCCUGCGUAGGCAUGCACAUACAUACGUGCAUACGUCACGAUUUUGUAUAUAGACAUACAUAACAGAUGCAAUGUCAACGUUAAUUAAUUAGAUUUAUUUACAAAGAUUUGGAAGCAGUAAAAUUUAUUUUGAUACUCCUACAUGGGUUUUACGCUUGAUAUUGGUUAAUCAAUCAAUCAAUUAAUUAAUUGAUGAGGUCCGACGCGGUCAGAGACGGUUGGUAGAGUCGUCGUCUCCCUCCUUGUCCUUGGACUGCGUCGCGUGUUUCCAAGGCAAUUUUUUCUCCUCUCCUCUCCUCAGAUAAUUAAUUAAUUAAAGAAAGAAAUUGAAUAAAAAUAGUACUUGUGUGUGAAAAAGAAAAAGAGAAGAGAAGAUAGUUUGUGCGUGGGCUCCACGAGGAGCGUAGACCGGAGACGAUUUGCCGAGUUGGAGUGGAGGGAGACUCAUCAUCAUCAGAGGAUAAUACUCUACUUACUAGUAGUAGGAGAGAAAGAACACCAACAUUCAACUACUAGUACAAAUUCAACAACAAUGGAAUACACUAGAGUCGGGAAACAGCUUUACUAGUCGUAAAUUUUUCUUUCUUUCUUUCUUGCUUUCUCCACCACGCCAAGUCCACAGCCACCUCCAUUUUCUCCUCCUCCAUUCUUCUCUUCUCCACCUCUCCUAUCUUCUUCUUCUUCUUCUUCCCAAUUGCUUGCCAGAUUCAAUUGUAGUGGUCGGUAUUGUGCAACAAACGCGGGCGGCGGCGGAGAUCUGAGCGAAUACAGACUGACCCCUUCCCUGCCUUGCCACUUUGGCUGAGGUAUAGAUCCAACAUCUCUCGCAAGCUGUUUCCUUUUCUUGCUUCACUUGGGAAAUUUGAGAUUUUUGAUCCCCCGAUGAAACUGACUGGGGGUUGCAAUUGGAUUUUCCGGGGAUCCAAAGUCGAUGAUUUGGAAUGAAAAAUUAUCGGUUUUUGAUGUGAAAUGUUCGUCCUGUGUCAUUUUUUGCGAUGGUGCGUGGUUCGUAGCCGUCAAUUUGAUUCCCCAAUGCGUGCCAGCCGCUGACUUGGACCAUCCCGACGCGCCCCUUGUGUUGUUGUGUCUCUUCUUUUUUAAAAUUUCCUUCUUUCCGUGUUUAUUUAAAUUAUUAUUAUUAUUAUAUAGUUGUUGUAUUGGAUGUAGUCGGGAUGGCCAGCCUGGACUCUCGGUUGUUUUUCCCCCCAAUUGCUGCAAGUUUCCUCUUUGUCUUCUUCUUCUUCUUCCUCCUCCGGAUUCAAGUUCAAUCUCCUCCCCUCUUUUCACAUUGCCACUUAUCAUCUGUGUCAAAUUUGUUUUGCAAAUUCUCUUUUGUAGCUCUCUACUUGUGAGCACCGAUCGAUCGUCUCUUUCUUUCCCUCGAUUUGUUGGAUGUGGUAAUGGAGGUUUGACUGACUGACUGCCUGCUUCUGCUUGGUCGUGGUCAGGUCGUCGAUUCGGAGCGGUGGCCGCCGGCGGAGGUGCUCGGAGUCGGAGGGGUAGCGUAUAUGUGACGCCUGCUUUGCCCUUGCCUUGCAGAUUGCAGGCCAUGUCAUGUGCCCAGCAAGACAUGGAUCCACCAACAAGGUAUUCCCCCACCUCUGUUUGUGGAUCUCCCUUUCUUUUUACGCAUAGAUAUACUACUACUAAUUGCUUAACCUUCAAUCUAUCCAUGUUUCAUCACUCAUUACAUUUUGACAGUCAUAGCAAUAUAUCUUAGAAGCCAUAUAUAGACCACUUCUUUGAUUUUCGGUCUUGCACACAUGUAGCCUGGGUCAAUCAAUUUCUUCCACCAUCAACAUCUGUAGCUUUGAGUCACCAUUCACCAUACAGACAGAAUUUUUAUUACUUAGGAGUAUUUCUGUAGGUUUAAUUCCCGACAACCUAGCUAGCUAGUUCGCCUCCAGGUAAGAUGGAUUACCCUUGAGGAAAGGGAACUCCGUUGCAACACAUGUCAUGCCCUGCAAGUUGCUAUUAAUUUGCUAUUGUUUCACUUUGCCAAAACCCUGUAUUUAUUGUCUUCCUAUGACCUAUGUGUCUAUUUGCAUUGUGACCCGGUAUUUUCUCAUACGGACAGGGACGCUUUGUCUGAGGCUUUAGAUGGUAAUCGCAGCGAUCACAGCGUGUAUGAUGCAGAGCAUUCUGGACAGAACGGAAUUGGGGAUACCAAAAAGCGUACAAGCAGCAGCGAUCUAUCCACAGAUGACAAUUUCUCCUCUAGUGCUUUGCAGAGCAAACAUGAACAUAUGAACCGUGAUGCUCUUUCUAUAGAUGACCGCUCGGUUAAGUCUGGUGAUGAAUCCGAUGGGGCUGAGAGUACCAGUGGCAAAAGUGGCAGUAUUGACUCAACAUGCACUGAAAAUGAUAGCAUCUGGAUACCACCUGAAGCUGCAGACAAGGAAUAUGAGGCUGACAGUGUUUCUGGAAAGAUUGCUUACGCUGACGACGACGAUGAUUACAGUGAUGGGAUCAAGUGGGGCCGGUCAAGUUUCCCAGCCACUAAUGAGGAGCAGGAGGUCAGCCACAAUACUAGGGAUGAGCGAGAAAGCGCGAUGCUAGAUGCCAUGAAUGGGCAGUUAAAGAUACUUGUAAGUCGGUUCCUGGCCUCUGCUGGUAUCUCCUUUUCCAAAGGAGAGAGCGGUGAGAGUUGGCUUGAUAUCCUUACCUCCCUAUCGUGGGAAGCUGCACUACUGAUCAAACCAGAUGCUAGCAAGGGAAAGGAAAUGGACCCUGGAUCUUACAUCAAGGUCAAGUGCAUAGCAUCUGGUACUCGUCGGCAAAGGUGAAACAUAAUUUGUUCCUUACUGAAGAAAAUUCUUUGAAAACAUUGAAUUUUUUUUUAUGUUUCAAAUUAUACCCCCCCCCCCCCCUUCAUUUUGCAAUGUUGAUUGCAGUGAGGUGAUCAAGGGGUUAGUCUUCAAGAAAAAUGCUGCUCACAAGCACAUGCCGACCAGUUGCCACAAUCCUAGACUGCUGCUUCUCAAAGGAGUCCUUGGGCAUUCUGAUGUUGGUUUGUCAUCAUUCAAUUCAAUGGAUCAGGUUUGCCACUACAUAUACAUGCAUGCAGAUAUUAAAUUAAAUCCCAUUUUUGUUGGCUUGAAGGUUAAUAGUUUCCUUUUUGCGUCUCUAUGGUAGGAAAAAGACCAUCUGGAGAGGGCUAUUAGUAAAAUGAUGGAAAUAUGUAGUCCUAAUGUUAUUUUGGUUGAGAAAACUGUUUCACGGGAUAUACAAGAACUUCUUCUGAAAGAAGGUGUUACUCUAAUUUUCGAUAUGAAGCUCAAUCGGUUGGAAAGAAUUGCUCGCUGUACGGGUUCUCCCAUAAUCUCAUUCUCAGAAGUCUUGGAUAAACCAAAGCUGAAACGUUGUGACUCGUUCCACAUAGAAAAAUUUAUUGAGGAGCAUAACAGUGCCAGUGAUGGUGGAAAAAGGCUAUCGAAAACAUUAAUGUUCUUGGAAGGCUUCCCCAAACCGUUGGGUUGUACGGUAUGUCUAGUUCAUAAUUGUAGUAUCUAUAACACAUUCAUGCAUUUUGAUCUUAUUCAUUUCGUCCAUAAAAUUUGUUCUUCCUGAAAUCUCCCCAUCCUUUUAUUAGGAGUGACAAUGAAACCUCUAAUCAAAACACCCCUGUCACUGUUGUAUGCCAAUCUAUUCUAGCUUGCUGUCUUUUACUUCAAACAAUUAUUGAUUCCUGAUGGUACUUGUCUGAUCCUGCCCCAUAUCCAAGUGAAGUGAAGUAAAAGAUUUUUAUGUUUUGACUUACAAAAGGGAUAGUAGGGAGGUGUAGAUAUCUGAAAUGCUCUCAAAACAUGACAAAGGAGCUGCUCCUUGUCUUUUGGCAAGGCAUGCCAAAUUUUAGCAAAUAAAGCUUGGCAGGAGCUAUGCACUCUAUGGUUCUUUACAAUAGCAAACCUGGUUUUGAUUAUGAUGUGCUAUACAGUAGCAAGUUUCAUGCAUCUUUUUUUUAUUAUGAUGCCAAAUGAAUAUGACCCCUUCCAUGCAUACUUAUUCUCUCGACUGAAUAGGCACAUGUGGAGUCACUUCUUUCCACUGAGUAGACACAUGUGGGGUAGUCCAUAUUUUUUAUAAAUUAUCUGCACAAUUAUAAUUCUUUCUUUAUCAUCCAGAUAUUGCUAAGGGGUGCAAAUAGUGAAGAACUGAAAAAAGUCAAGCAAGUCAUGCACUACACAGUAUUUGCAGCGUACCACUUGAUUCUUGAAACAUCAUUCUUUGAAGAUCAGAGGAUAUUUUUGAAUGAUCAAAAUGCUUCAAGAGAGAAUUCUGUUACUGCCAUGGCAGGGCCAUCAGCAAAUGGUUACGAUCCAUCUGUUCUUUGUGCCUCUGACUUUCCUUCACGAGAUGACUCUCCAGCACUUAGACUGUACCAUGCCACUUCUAAUGGCUACACUGAUGUGAAGAAAUCCCUCAGUUCAUCAACAAAAGUAGAUGCUCCAAGUUCAAUAACAAACAGCUCCUCGAGUGUUGGAGAAGAUGCAAGUAUCCGAUACGACUCAAAGCCACCACUUCAUUCUCAAAGGUUACCAUCACCAGUCCCAGGAACGCUAAGGAAAUACGUUGGCAUGUUAUCUCAUCAGAAUAUUUAUUUACCUGUCACAUCCUUGCAAGAAACAUCUGCUACCCAGAUAGAAGGCGAGGUUGAAUCUGGUAAAGAAAUUGUCAGUAAUGGUUUUCAUGUUGGGUCAAAGGUGGAAGAGCCUGCAGUUUCUACUGCAAAUGUGGAUUGCUCACAAGAUCACCAGAGACAAGAAAGAAUUCAAGAUAUAAUGCCAACAAAUUCUACGCACGACAAACGUGAAGAAUCACCUGUUAUGGUAGAAGAUGGGGAACAACAUAGCACCAUUGAUAUCAUUAGCAAAGAGAAAACUACUAACGAAGAUCAAGCGGAUGAUGCCCUUGAUACUCACAGCAUAUUAAUUUUGAUGUCCAGUCAAUGCAUAACAAAGCAGGUUAUUUGUGAGCAGAGCCAUCUUUCUCGUAUAAAAUAUUAUGGGAAUUUCGAUGUGUCCUUAGGGCGAUAUUUGCAAGACAUUUUGCAGAAUCCGGUUUUGCAGAAUCAGGUACACUGUUUAUUAAACUUUUACUUUGUCCUCGAGUAGUUUUUCUUAUUUUCACGAAAUACCCACAUUUUGUUUUAGCAUUGCAACUUGAUUCUGUUUGGAUGCUUACUCAGCUCAUUGAUGUAAAUUCAUAGCAGAAACUGAGCUGCUCUUCAUGUGGAGAGUUUCCAGAGUCUCAUCUGUACUCUUACACUCAUCGGAAUGGGAAUUUGACCGUUCGAGUCAAGCAUUUGGCGCCUCAACAUCAUUUGCCUGGUGAAUCUGAAGGGAAAAUAUGGAUGUGGACCAGAUGCUUGAGAUGUGAGAAUGAACAUGGGAUGUCCAAAUCGACUCCAAGAGUGCUCAUAUCAUCUGAAGCACGAAGUCUCUCUUUUGGAAAAUUCCUAGAACUCAGUUUUUCAAGCCAUUCUGCGGCAAGAAGGCUUUCAAUAUGCGGACAUUUGGUGAACAGGGACUGCUUGCGCUUUUUUGGGUAAGCUAGCCAGCUAGGCAUAUUUUCAUUUGCAUCAAACAAAAAUAAUUUUAAGCUGAAACACCAGUAUUUGGUUACCAAGCAUAGCUAUGCCGUGGAAAGACAUACUACUAUACCUUUCGUCUUUCUUGACAUUCAUUAUUGUCUGUUCACUACUGCUUUCAGGUUGGGCUCGAAAGUUGCAAUGUUCCGGUACUCAUCAGUUGAAAUUUAUACAACCUGCAAACCACAAACCACUCUCCAGUUUGAUAAUCCCUGCAGGCAGGAUUGGUUUAAAGAAGAGAGGAGAUAUGUAUGUUUUAUUAACUUCAGUAUAAUCAUGCUAUGUUUUCGAUAUGUUUUAAUGUUUUAUGUUUCAUCUUUCAAGGUUCUUGCUAGAGGUAUAAAGCUUUUUUCUGAGGUUGCAAGCAUGCUACAACCCUUAAAGGAUCAGCUUCUUGAUGUGACAACAACCAAUUGCACCGGCUCUCUCCCUGUUAAAGACUUCUCUGAACUUGAAGAGUUGUUGAUCAAAGAAAAGGCCUUUUUUGAGGUAAGCAUCCCUUCAUUUCCAUUGGUGUAGGUGUCGCCAAUGGUAUUCCUGCACAUCACAGUAGGACUUUUGUUUCUAGAUGAAUUUGUUGUGUUUAAUUUUUUUUUUUUGUGCUAUCAUCUGUGUUGCCAUCCAGGAUUCUCUAGAAAAGACAAUUAAUCAGAAUGAGAAUCUAUCUGCAUCUGUGCAUGAACUUGUUGAUAUCAAUUGGUCCUACCAGGAUCUUCUACUUGAACUUUAUUUGUGGGACCGUCGACUGGAUCAACUUACUAAGUGUGUUUCAGCUGGACAAGAGCGUGUUGUUAGUUGCAAAGAUCCUUUUGAUACUGUUGUCAAGAAUAUUAGGGUAAAUCAGGAGAUUGAAAAUAAAGCUGACGAAUUGACAUGUGAUAGAACUACAUCAGUUUUGAGCGCAGUUGGUUUGACUGAGUGUCCAAGUAAUAGAAAUUACAUUGACCACCAAUCAGUUGACAUUGAAGCACCCGUGCUUACUGAAAAUCAGGGGGCUGGGUGUGCUCAAUUUUCUUCCACUGGAGGUAGAAAUGAUGAAGACUCUUACACUGCUCCUUGUCAACUAGAGGUAGAUAGCAUGGCACAAACCAAAGAAGUUCCUUCAUUUGAAAUUUCAGAGGUUCAGGGUGAUGGGAUAGUUGUUCAUCCAAUUUCUUUGGACCAGGAGCCUUCAAACGCUCCCAAUCAUUUCAGAAAAAUUCCAGACUGGGAUACAGGGGAAGGGUGGAUUUGGAAUUCUUUCCAUGAAUGUCAAUUGGCUUACAGAAAGGACAUACAAAAUGAAAUUUUGGAUAAAUUUGAAAUUGUCAACCGUUAUUCUCCGUCUCAUAUGUCUCCCUUGUUUGAGCAACAUGAAGAAGUGAGCUCUCCACAGUUCACUGUUGGUCCAGGUGGUAAUAUUUUAUCUGUACUGGAGGAUGAGAUAUCUAGUAUAAUAGCCCGUGCUCUUGCUGUAUCUGGGGAACACCGCCAUUUAGUGGAGAAUGAAACAGAGGGUGCCAGGUUGGAGCAUGCUAAAACAAUGGAAAAAUCAUAUAGCUUUAUGUCUGGAAGUUCUCUUGACUCAUCACCAUGGUCAUCUAUCGGAUCUUUAGAUUCCGAAGCAAGUUUUUUGUCUCUUGGUUCAUCAGUUUCAUCAGAUGACCUAUCUGGUUAUGAUAGCUUGCCUUUGUUCUCUUCAAUACAUCCAGAAGUCGCUGUAAAUGGAAAAGUAGCUCUCAGAGGCAAAUAUUCUGUUACUAGCAUAUAUGCUAAACAAUUCCAAGAUCUUCGAAAGAAGUGCUGCCCAUCUGAGCUUGCAUAUAUUACUUCCCUAAGUCGCUGCAAGAAGUGGGAUGCUCAGGGUGGAAAAAGUAAAGCUUUCUUUGCAAAGACAGUGGAUGACAGGUUCAUCAUAAAGCAAAUAAAGAAGACAGAGUUUGAGUCCUUCAUAAAAUUUGCCCCUGAUUACUUCAAGCAUGUUUACCAUUCUCUAGACACUGGAAGCCAAACUUGCCUUGCCAAAAUAUUGGGAAUUUAUCAGGUACUUUUACAUUGAUAAUUGGAGUUUAUUUCAAUAUAUUCCUGACUUUAUAGUGCUUUUCUUACAAGUUGCUUCUUCUCAGGUUAAGCAAACAAGGCAUGGAAAAGAGAUAAAGAUCGAUCUGUUGGUGAUGGAAAACCUUCUCUUCGGGCACAAUAUUUCACGGAUUUAUGAUCUUAAAGGUGCUAUCUUUUCACGACACGUUGCACACUCCAAUGACCGUAAUACUGUUUACUUGGAUCAAAACUACGUCGAGGACAUGCGUGUUUCUCCGAUUUAUAUUGGUGGAAGAACAAAGCAUCUUUUGCAACGUGCAAUCUGGAACGACACAUCAUUCCUCACUGUAUGUAUAAAGCAAAUCCUGAAUCCAAUUACAGGUAAUUGUGGCUUUCAAUUAAAAAUGUGUCUUUAACCGAUUUAUUGGCUUGCAGUCGGUCAACGUUAUGGACUAUUCUCUGCUUGUGGGAGUGGACAAAGAAAAGCAUGAGCUUGUAUUUGGCAUCAUUGAUUAUCUGAGGCAGUACACUUGGGACAAGCAGCUGGAAACAUGGGUGAAAAGUUCCCUAGUAGUGCCAAAGAAUGUUUCACCAACUGUAGUUUCACCCAAGGAGUACAAGAAAAGGUUCCGGAAGUUCAUGGCGAAGCACUUCCUCACAGUUCCAGAUACAUGGAGUUCAGAGAAUUCUUCCGGACCAAGCAAAUCGUUUGGGCAUAGCAAUAACAUGUUGGUAGAAGUCCAUAGUGAUGACAAUCUGCUUCAGCAUCCAAUUGAGGCUGAGACAGUUGUAUAAAUGACUUCUCUGACAGUUGUUGAAUCCUAUCCUGUUGCUACUUGGCUUUUUUUUUUUCAUUUUGUAAAAUGGUGUACAUAGGAGGGCCUCACUCACUAAUUGAUUUUGGCAACCCCAGAGAAGUUUGCAGAUUUUAGGCAAGUCGAUGGGGGGCAAGUGAGGCCUACAGUACAUGUAUGUAUACAAAUGUUCAUUGUUAAUUUCACAGUUAUUACAGUGAAAUUGCAAAAUUGAUGAUUAUUCUGAACCUCAGUUUCCACCAGCUAGUUAGUUGGUAACUUGUGACAUUAUUGAUAGACCAAUAUUGCUCCGAUUCAUUUCCGCUGGAGACGAUCUUCUUGCUGUGAGCACUGAGCCAUACUCAUUCGCAGAAGCAAAAUAGGAGUGCUGCCAUGAAGCACAAAACCUGGGUUGUCGCAAAUUAAAGGGGUAUGUUCACAACCACAAGCAUGGCAUCGACUUCUCGCCCAAAUCCUUGUAAUGAAGAUUAUGACGAGCAGAGGAAUUUUUUUCUUUUUUAAGACAAGUAUAACUAUGGCAUUGCGAUUGUUUUUUUGAUCUUGUCUUGGUGCUUGGUUGCAGAACUGCUUUAGCCAAGGGAUUGUUGUCGCGCUGUUCAUUUGUUGGAGUGCAGUCAAGGUCAGCUAAUUUAAUUCCCCAUUGCAUACAUGCAGAUUCUCAACCCACAAAGAAUGGAAUAUGGGCUAGCUAUACUCCAAUUAUCAUCAUUCUUCGUUUCUCCACCUCAUGCAUGACUCUGCAAAGAAAGAUGCUUGAAUCCAAUCGAUUUGGCAUUUCUUCAUCUGAUUGAGUCCUACAAGUCAAGGUGAUCAUUGCCAUGUCCCAAUUCAAGAGGACCCACCUUCUCAUCAUCUUGCAGCCAAAAUGGUGAGCAAUAUCAUGGAGAAUCAUGUCCAAGAGCUCUGCGUAGCUGCAUCGAGGGUGUGUGCUGUUCUCAGUUUUCUUUCCCUGUUCAUCUUCUUUGCUUGAGUGAUUAUUAAAAUAACCAAUUAAUAUGUUUGUGCUGCCAUAUAUAUUCUCGCAUAGUGGAGUGAUGAAUGAUAAGGAAGGUGAUAAGCCUACCGCCAAGAACAAAAGGGAGAAGAAGAAGAAGAAGCUAGAGCAAAGAGAUGGAGGUUAAAAGAUGUCAUUUUUAAACCCUUCCCGAUUACCAGUACUUGUUUCUUUUUGUCCCCUCCUCUCUAGUCUGUCCAAGUUGUUACUUUUCCAGUUUUUUUAUUAUUUUUUUUAAUGGAACUUUUCCAGUUUUAGAAAAGGGCAAAGAGUUGGUUUCCCUUUCGGACAUCUGAUUCGUCGCACUUUUAGAUUCUUCCUUUCACAGGUAGUAAAUAUUACACCAUCAUCAGUCAUAAAACACCAUUAAAAUAUGGAGUACAAAAGAAGAAUUAGGACUUACUAGUGGACAUAUAUAUAUGUUGAUUCUGACAAUUAAGCAUGAACUGGUCGCUAGUAGCCGCAAUGGUAAUUUGGAGACACAAAGAUGGCAUGCAUGGGCAUAUAUAUUGAUCGAUCUAUAGCUAGAUACAGUGACUAGAUGAGUGAUAUAGCUAAGCUAGAGAAGUGCCUGAAUUACAAGAAAACAAAAACACCUACGACCUUCCUAGCUGGAGUACUACAUUAAGUAAUUCUCAUUUGUUAAUUACUAGUAGCAAACUCAUCCAUGCAUCUUGUGCUAAUGCGACUAUCUACCAUGCAUUAAUUAUAUUAGUAAUAUGCAUGCAUGAUGUUAAUAAUCUGUUUGUGGCAAUAAUUAAUAAUCAUACAGUGGAUGUCUGGAUUAGACUUUGGAUCAGCGAUGGCUGCAGAGGUCGGAGAGCAUCUUCCUGCCCUCGACAAUGUCAUCGAACAAGUCGUCGAGCUCGGCGAUGACGGCCUCGGCGCCGGAGCUGAGCAUGGCGAGGCAGCCUUUGACGAGGUGGGCCCUCUCGGCCAUGUCCUCCCGGUGGGCGUAGCCGGUGCCGGUGGCGACGACCCUGUCGAGGUCGGCCUUGAGGCUGUCGAUGGCGGCCCUGGCCUGGCGGAACUCGUACAUCAGGAUGCCGUCGGCGGCGGGGGCGGCGAGGGCGCGCAUCUCCUGGGCGACGCGGUGGCGGAGGCGAGCCAUGGAGGAGGCGUAGCCGGGUGCGGUGGGCAGGGGAAGGGGAGUGCAGGUGGAGAUGAGGUGGUCGGGGAGGCAGGAGGAGACGGUGGCAGAGAGGAGGAUGGCGAGGAGGAAGGAGGUGGCGUUGCGGAGGGCGUAGAGGAGGGCGCGGAAGCCGUUGAAGGCGUUGAGGUUGAGGUCCCUCGGGGAGCGGUGGUCGAGGAGGAGGAGGGAGGCCGGGUCGAGGAUGUUGUCGUGGAGGAGGGCGCGGUUGUCCUGGAGGAGGCCGGCGGCGUGGCGGCGAGGGGCGUUGAUGGCGCGGGCGGCGUGGAUGUAGUCGUCGUCAUGGUCGUAGAGGUGGUGGAUGGCGUGGGCGGCGGCGGCGGAGUAGGCGUGGAGGGCGGAGGCGCCGGCGCGGACGAGGAGGCAGGCGUCCCACAGGCGGGAGGUCUCGUCCAUGUACUCGUCCAGCCACCUCUCCCCCGCCGGCAGGUGCAGCCUCCCCACCACCUCCAGCAGCUGCGCGUGCACCGACCGCACCAGCGCCGCAGCCUGCUGCACGAACGCCGCCGACAUGAACCCCACUUCGCCGACCGCCAGACUCCGGUGCAGCGCCUCCACCCCCUGCCCGAUCGACGAGUAGAACCUCUUCAUCAUCCUUAGCUUAAUUAAUUAAUUCCUAGCUAUCUACUCCUUCCUUGUAGUGUUCAUGGUCAUGGCUGCUGCCUCUCUGCCUGUAUAUACUCCUGCGGUGCCUACAUAUAGGAGAGAUGUCAUGGCAGUGGCAGCAGCUACUCCUAGUCCUCGAUGCUAAUCUAGUGUGUACAGCAGCAACAGCCAGACUGCAAGAGCAAUGGAACGAAUGAUAUGAUGGUGUGUCUGGGCGCCAGGGGGAAGGAUGAUUGUCACUGCCUACUGCUUCUUCGAUCAUCUCUCUCACUCAUCUAUACGAAUGAUAUGCACUAUUACUUGCUACUGUUCAUCACUAUCUAUCCAUCUAUCGAUUCGAUUCGAUUAUGUGUGUAUCAUCACGUACCUGCCUUUGCAUUGCCAUUUUGAUUUCCUACGUGCUCUCUUCCUCUCAAAAAUAACUUAGGCCCUGUUUAGUUCCAAGGGUGAAAAGUUUCUGCAUUUCACAUUGGACAUACCAACACACAUAUAAAGUAUUAAAUGUAGCCUAAUAACAAAACAAAUUACAGAUUCCACAUGUAAACCGCAAGACGAAUUUAUUAAGCCUAAUUAAUCCGUUAUUAGCAAAUAUUUAUUGUACCACCACAUUAUCAAAUCAUGGAGCAAUGUUUCGCAAUUUACACACAAUCUGUGUAAUUAGUUUUUUUUUUGUCUAUAUUUAAUACUCUAUGCAUGUGUCCAAACAUUCGAUGUGAUAGAGUCAAAAGUUUUUGCGUGGGAACUAAACAGACCCAUAACCUAGAUGGAAAUGUGAACCCUCCUAGUAAAACAAAUCAAGACAAUCUUCUAUUCAAAUUCAUUAUACUAAGAGGGGUCACAUCACCUCUUAGGUUGAGUUUUUUUUUCAACAAAGGGAGUGCUCAUAUACAUAUGCAUCGGAAAACGCAAUACACCUAGUUACUUACCCCCUCUGUCACAUAAAAAAUCCAACCUGGUAUUGGAUAAGACAUUUUUUAGUUUAACGAAGAGAAAAUGUGUAUCAUUCAAUAUUAAAUUAGUUUUUUCUUUUUUGGACGGAUGGAGUAGAGGGUACAGUACAGUACUAGAUUAGCUUUGUGUCUCCAUGGCUGGCUAGCAAGUAGCAACAGAAACAGGGGACAGGGGUAGUAGAAAUACUAGAAUGGUGCGUGGUUGUUUUGAUAUGAAUGUCCAAUUGCAAAUUGAUUGGGACCAUAUACAGAAAAAAGGAAGCUACCAAGACAAGAAGCAAGAGGAGGGGCCUCUCCAUUAAAAUUCAUGUCUCGCUUCACAUAUACAGGCAGUUAUACUAGUACACAAAUAGCCUGCACUGUCAUGAGCUGCUGCCGUCCUAUGUACGUACUUGUAUAUUUUCUUCCUAUACCAUACGACUUAUUAAUUAGAGUUUCAUCCGUAUGUAACAAAUAUUCAUUCUACUCGAUGGAUCGAUCGGCAGCAUAAUGUAAAAUUGAAUUAAACGUGCCCAAGAUCGAUGAUGACGGACAACAGGAAGAAGAGGAGAAACAGAAUUAAGCAGAGCAGAGUGCUCUGUUAAGUUGCCUUUAUCCUGUCUGUCCUCAAUCUGCGUUUCAACAAACUCUAUCGCCUACCUUGUACUCCAAUUGAUGGCAACAAAUUUAAGCUGAUGAUUCAUAUAUGAACCUAAAUCAAUUAGUUAUUAACAACAUUAAUUAGAAUAAGAUCUGAAGAAGAAGAAGAAGAAGAGGAGGAGGAGGGAGGACAAAAAUUCAAAGGUGGGCAGGAGAACGAGAGAUUUGUCUGUCUGUCCAUCGAUGCAAGUUCCCAUGGCUGUGGGCAUGAAUUUGCAAGCAAGCAAGGAAUGAUGGGUUUCCUUGUACCCGUACAAAUCUCUCUGGCAAUGGCUAUGGCUAUGGCUUCUUCCAUCUUUUGAGGAGGCGGCUUCCUCCGCUUGCUCAUCCCUCUCAACCGGGCCUCCGAACCACCCAACAAUCAUUCCUCAUAUAUGCCCGUGCCCACCCCUCUUCUUUCAAGGACCUCAACUACUCUCAAAUCAUCCAAUUUCUGAUUCCUCCAUUACAAACUUCACCUUGUACCAUCCUACUUCAUAUUUGUUUUUUCCGACAAGUAUUAUCCAGUACUAAUACUUUUAAACUUGGAUGAGUUGAUAUGUUUUCUUAAUUAUUUGCAUUGGUUCGAUAUAUGUAAAUCAUACAGGAGCAUGUACAAUUUGUCCUAAAGAAAUGCUACAUGUUCUUUUAUUUUGAAUAGCCGAAUGGUUGAAUAGCUGAGUGAAUUUGUGAUGAUUAUUCAAAUGUACAAAUGAAUCUAUUAAGUAGUACAAAAUUGAAAAAAUGAUUUAAAACCAUUUUUUUAGGAAAUCCAUAUUAAAAAGUUUUUACAGAAAUCGCAACGUUUAGAAACUCCAGAAGUAUACAAGUUUAUCCACAUUCUAUUCCUCGGAAAAGAAGUAUACAAAUUUAUCCGCAUUCUAUUCCUCGGAAAAGAAUGCUCUUAUUGAAGUUUUAUUUGGAAAGCCGUAUCAAUGUCUAAAAUGGAGGGAGGGAGGACGGAUGAUUCUUAUGAAAGCACAAUGCCGUUAAAUCCUGAAAAAUUUGCUCCCAUGGGAAGUCAAACCCAGGAUCUAAGGUGCUAUUGAGACUCCUGUAACUACUAGGUUACAGGCCCUUUCGCAAACUCGACUAUCCUUAGUUGAAUACUCUCCACAAAAUUCGAUCUAAAAUUUAAAAUUAUGACAAUCAAUUUUAUAUUAAAAUAAGUUGAUAGGUCUGGUAAGUUUAUAACAUUAUGAUAGUUAAAUUUUUAGGCAAAUUAUUUAUUUUGUCUUUAAACGCUUGUCAAAAUUUUAAAAAGCUUAACCAAAUCUUAUUCUGAACAUGAUGGUGUAUUUCUUUUACUAGCCUGAAGGAAGUAGUUUUUUUUUAGGAUUCUUGUUGAAUUGGCUCCACAAACGAGACAAAGUAUGUUAAUAUGAUUACAAUUAGGGGGGAGUACGUGUAGUAGGGAUUAGUAAAUGGUGUUAGUGUAGGCGCUCGUGGGGUUUGGGAGACCGAGAGAGAUCGAGGAGGGAUCGGGGAAAUCAAAGGGUAUGUAUGUUGUUUGCCUUUUAUCUAUCUAAUCGAGCCAUAUACUAAGAUCAAGGUUAGCAGCGAUCGAGUACUAAUUAAUUACCUUUUGUUUUCUCCACUAAUCAAUGAUGUAUACAUAGGACAUGAUGCAUGAGUUGGCAUGUUUCAUUGUGUAUAUUUUAUUACUACUAACAAUUGCAUCGGUGGCCAUGCAUGCAAUGUCCGUAGUUGACCGGUAGGCUCCACAGCACUCAAUGGUUGAUAUAAUCAUUCCUAGCUAACUUGUCUUGUCCGGCCACCCGUUUAAUUAAUUUUGCUAAUCUUUAAUUUCUACACUUCGUACUUCUCCCCUGUAAUAUACAGUUCGUACUUCACCAAAAUGAACUUUUUACUAGUACUUCUCCCCUGUAAUUUUUUUUUUAACUUUUUACUAGUACGCGGUGUGAUUUGCCUUGCUUUUUGGCAGGCAACCUUUUGUCUUUGUUGUUUCUCUAAAUUAAGUACUGUCUUCAGUGAUCGAUGCUAGAUGUUUAGUCCAAAUUAGUACGGUUGGUGUGGCAAUUCAACAUGAAAGCACACUGAUCAGUAAUUUAACUCAUUACUGCUAGGAGUAUAUGGUGUGUGCAGUAGGACGUGUAGGAUCUAGCUAGCAGUGAUAUGACCAAAUUAAAUUAAUUGGUGAUAAAAAGACCAUCACAAAUAACAUAAAUCUACUCGAUUACUGUAGGUCUUGUGUAGCUACUGCUACUUGGUUACAGCACCACUUUGAUGAAUGCAGGAGUCAGGAGGAAUAUGCAUGAGAUAGAUGAACACAGAGAGAGAGAGAGAGG
rnacentral:lncRNA from 1 species